CUUAUAACAUAGUCGAAUUUUUAUAAGCGUUGUUUCAUUGCCGAUCAUAUGACAUAGGGAUAGAUACAUGAUUAAGUGCAUUAAGAUAUAAUAGAUUAUAGAUGUCACUUCCUAGCAGAAACCCCUGUGAAAAGUAAUUCAACAAUUCCAAUCUGAAUCAUAAUUAAUGAGAUUAAUAAAAAUUUAACUACAUCCAAUAAAGCUAUUAAUAACCAAUAAAUAGUGUUUAUGCUAUUAACUUUUUCACUCAAACGAUGCAUUCAAUCCACAUAGUACACAAUAAGUAAAUAAAUAGAAGGGGAGAACACGCCUAGAUUUUCUUAAUCUUUAUAAGCAUAAAGUGGCUAAAAUUUACAAUAAGAUGGUCUACCUAUUGAACUUUAAGUGGUUGCAAACUCUGAGAACCUUUAUUUCGACAUUUUGAACAAAACAAAAUUGGUAAAAGUUAUGUGUAACAAUGUUCAGUUAUAAUUUCUAAAAUGUCCAUCAAUCAAGCUGGAUAAAAAAACAUCCUUCCUAUGAAAUACCGACACAGACACGGACACCAGACUCGACACUGAUUUGUCAACACUAAUGGUAAUUUGAGAAAAUCACAUAUGUCGGUAUUGGAUGCCUUCGAUCUGAAGUGUGUGUCUACAAAGCAUUAUCGACAGAAUCUUAUAUCAUGUCUCAUCAUUUGAAAAACUCUUCUAGGUAGAAGCAAUUAAUUGAGUUAUUAAGAUAAUAAUGAUAAUGAUGUACCUGGACCAAGAAAUAUAUCUAGCCAUGGUGUUCCUUUUCUAUUGUUUCAGUAAGCACCAAGUUCCGCAUGCCUGACAAUAAAACUAGAUGUUGCUGCUGCAAAAUUUCUGUCUCUGAAACUCCCACUUCCACAAAUCUAUGCUUUUUCAGCGUAGGAUGAAAUUGUGAUAAUGAAGCAUUGAGAUAUUCAUCUAUUUUUCUCUUUCUACUAUAAGGAUUGGUGAAUAUCACAUCCUCAUUCGUGUUGUUUUUCUCCUUGCACACGUGGAUUCCCAUUUUUGCACUUCUUAACCCUUGAAUCACAUUCUCAGGAAUCCCAAUGAAAAAAUGAAACUUCAACUCCACAUAGAUCCAUUCAUUUUUUAAAAGUGCUUUGUCCAUUGCAGACUCGAAAUUGAUCCCGUAAAAUAUUUUCAAGUGUUGAAUAUUUUCUUCCAAAUUCAUAUCAAACAAAUAUGCAUGUCCCGAAGAAAAUCCCCAUUUAAAUUUAAAAUCUGGAUAUGUACGUUCAUAACCAUUGACAAACAAAUUAAAUCUGAAAUGUUGAACAUCCGGAAGAAUAAUAAUAGAAGUUAUAGAAGGGAUCUUUUUACGGAACCAGAAAGAAAUUGAUUGACCCCUGCUUUGAUGCUCGAACCAAUCUGGAAUCCUAAUCUCCUCUGUUCCGUUUGGGAAACAAAUAUUGGUGCACCCAGCCUCAUGUAAUUGCUGUUAGUUUAGCAUAAGAUAUAUAUUACACAUUGUUGAUUAUAUGUGAAAUACUACAUAUCAAAUACUAUUGCAAGAAAAAACAACAACAAACCUGACUCAAUAACAUUCUUCUACUUGAGGAACUCAAUGAUUUACAUCUUAAUGCUUCAAAAUAUUUGAGAUUCGGUGGAAACCCUCUAAUUUCCUCAAGAUGCUCGUUGGAAUUCAAUCCGAGGGUCCUCAUACGGUGACAUUCAUUAAGGCACUCGGGAAGAAUUUUGAAAUUGCCAAAGGAUAAGUCUAGAAAUUUCACAUUAACACACAACUUGAGAACUAUUUGGAGACCUUCAUAUGGGAGAUUGCAAUAAUGGAGAUGAAGAGUUUCCACAUUUGAAAACCUUAUUGAAUACAUUUUCUCAUUAUGUUUUGUGAACCUGAGCAUUUCACAUCGCCGUAGUGAUAAGCUGAGAUUUUGAAAUGAAAAUGGCAAUUCUGUUGUGGAAGUUAUACACAUUCCAAUCUCUUUUGUAUUUGUCAUCUUACAUAAUAAUUCUGGAAAACUCUUGAGUCUCUUACAAAAAGAGAGGUCCAAUUCCUUCAGAGAGGGCAGCCAUAAGGGUGGAAAAUUCUCAAGCUUGGUGCAUGCCCAUGCAUUUAAGAUUUCAAGUUUAUUUAGGUUCCCAAUCGAAUCGUGAAUUGCAAUUAAAUUAUCACAAAAUCGAAACGAGAAUUUUUCUAAAUUUGGAAGACCUGAGACAUUGGGUAUAUGGGUUAAAUAUAGACAAUAGUCCAAUGUCAAGACUUUCAUAUCCUCAAACCUCUGCAUAAACACAAAGAAGAAACAAACAAAUAAAUUAAAAAUCAAACACUAUACUCUCAUAGUGAUAUUAUUUUCUUGACAGAAACAAAAUCAUUGUGAAUUUAUAAAUAUAUACAAUUAGAAAAUGAAAUUAUUUCACUUGCCUUGCAACAAAUAAUAGAUGAUAGAGACUCUGAACAACAUCCAUUCCAUUUCAAUACUCUCAAACUCCUUGGAAGAUACUUGAGACCUUUAGAAAAAGAGACAUUUUCAAUAAUAAGUGUUUUGAGAUUUGUCAUCUUCUUGAAGGUCUUUCCAUUCCAGUCUAUUACCAGAUCCAUUGAGGGAGAAUUCAGAUAUAUCAUCUCAAUUUUACUUGUUCCCUUUUAACAGAUAAAAAAAUAAAAAUGAAUCAACCACAAUACAAAUAAAAUAUUGAGAACAUAUAAUGUAAUUAAGGGUAAAAUAAAUAUUUGUUCAUAGAUAUCAAUCUUACUUUGUUUUCCUGUAAAAUAUGAACUAUGUCAUUGCGACACCACAACCUACUACGCUUUUCAGGCUCUUUGGGUGAUUCUUUCCGGACGAUUUCUUUACCCAUGACCUCUAGCAAGUCAUGUAAUGUCACUUUUUUCCACCAAAUAAUUUUUAUGAGAGACUUAUCAACCAACCCUCCAAUGUGGCUAUUUAUGCGAUAACCAUAAUGACGUUGAAGUAUCUCUUCGACUUCUGCCAAUCUACAUCCUUUGAAGAAACAAGCAAUAUCCAAAAAGACAAUUUGUUGUUCUUCGUCCAAAGCAUCAAAGCUUACUUUAAGUAUCUUUUGGAUAUCUUCAUGUGGAAUUCUUUCAUACUUAUCUAAUGUAGACUCACAUUCUGAAAUAUUCUUUCCAAACAAGUUGGAACCCACUACUUCUAUAGCUAAUGGAAGGCCAGAAGCAUACACAACUGCACGUUUUAAAAUCUCUUCAUAACUUGAAGGAACUUUGUAACUUUUAAAAGCCAUCCACCUCAACAAUUCAAGAGCAUUUUCCCUAGACAUCCCUUUUACUUCAUGCAUAAUUUCUAUCUCAUGAUUGCUUAGUAAGUGUUUGUUACGAGUGGUAAUGAUAACUCUGCUUCCACAACCGAACCAAUCACGUCCUCCGGCCAAAGCAUGCAGUUGUUCCAAAUUGUGCACAUCAUCGAGAAUCAAAAGAAUCUUCUUUGUAUGUAGCCUUUCCUUUAUAUAAGGAAUUCCCUCACUAACACCUCCUAACUUAAUUUUCAGUGAAAGUGUUUUUAAAAGGAGUUCCUCCUGGAGAUGUUUCAAUUGAUUUGAAGCUGAAUUCUCUCUCACAUUUUCAAGAAAACAUGAGCAUUCAAAUUGAUCAGCAAUAAAAUUAUAAAUUGCUUUUGCAAGUGUUAAUUUACCCAUGCCUCCAAUGCCAUAAAGUCCUACCAUGCGGACUCCAUCAUAAGAUCAUUCAUCAAGAAGCGAUUUCACUUGUUGUACUCGAGACUGCAAUCCAACAGGGUAAUUGGCAACAUGUAAGGGCUGCCGACUGAUCUUGUUAGAGACGUAUUUGACUAUCUCUCCAAUAAACUUGUAUUCAUAUCUAUUCAUGUCCAAUAAGAUAAGUCAGUAUGUAACAACAUCACAGUCACACCCAUGUACUCAUAAUAUAUCAUACAUUUCUAAAUUCAAACUAUUUUGACUUAUAAAUAACUAAUACUUGUUUAAAAACGUAAAUAAAAAGGUGUUUCCAAUUUAGGCUUUCGGUUGGUAUUAUUGAGGAAUAAAUAUUAAAUAAAUAAAAUGCAAAAAGGAAAACAAGAAUUAAGUAAAGAGGAGUACCCAGGACUAAAAUGGUAGCCGGACAAGUUAGCAGCUUCGGUCAGAGCUAACUUCCAUUGAUGCAACCGCUCCAUGUUUUUAUUGUUAUUUUGGAAACUCUUUCAGUGAUUAGUGAGAUGUUCACCAUAACUACCACUUUGAUGUCAUAUGUGAGUAGGAUCCACGACAUAGAAAACAGGCAAAACAAGACGACCCUUUGUCUUGUAGCAGUGAAUGAUGUGGACAAGUUCGUCCAAACAAAAUGAAGAAGAGGCAUAGUUGAUAGAAAACACAGGAAUGAAGAUCCUAGACUCUUCAAUGGCAUUGUCGAGUGAUGGUUUGAUUUCAUCCCCUCUUUGCAGGUCACGGUCAUCAAUGAAGGUGUGGAUUCCUUUGUCAGUAAGAGCCUUGUAGAGAUGACCAGUAAAACCGUUACGAGUGUCACUGCCCCUGAAGCUGAGGAACACUUGGUAAGUGAAUCGAUAGGAAAAUGAAGAGAAUGAGGAAGGUGAUUGCAUAGCCAUGAAAAUAGAGAGAAACUGGAUGAAAAAAGAGUUUGAGAAUGCAGAAUAUGAGUUUAAGUUUUUGUGGUAUGUGAUGUGAGAGUCUUCAGUAUGUAACUAUAUAACAAGGAGAAAACUUAUGACAAAAAUGGUCUGUUAAACUUCCUGACUACUUCCUAUAGCCGUGUGGACCAAUCACACAUUAAUUAAAUAACAUUCUACUGCCACAUCUUCUUGCUAAUUUCUUCAAUGUGAUUGCUGUUCAACUUUCGGAAAAAACUAAAAUAAAUAAAUUAAAAACCAAAGAAUAGUGUAAUAAGUACCGGAACUAUUAUUUUUGUUUUUGACGCUUAUAGUUUUAUUUGGACACAUAAGUCAAAUUAAAUACAAACAAACAAAUAACAAUUUGGUAAUAUUAAAAAAUGUGAAAAAUGCAACGAGUGCUUACAUAAUUGCAAGGUUGAUUAUAUUAGCUCUAGAGUACAAUGGGGGUUCUUAAUUUAGUUUAAUGGAAUAUUGGUUAGACAGCAAGAAGAAAACAAGAUUAUGAACAAUGGCAACAUCCAGGAAGUUAGACCAUUGACCAGAGGAUUAAUUAAAGAACUUGCUUACAUCACUAUGUUUUCUUAUAAUUAAUAACUUUAAAAAGAAUCAGCAUUAGGUCCAAGGUUUGAUUCCUGACCGAUGUAUGGAAAAACAGAAGAAUUAUUAAUUUAAUAUCUUUUUUUAUGUUAUUAUUAAAAUAUAAAGAGUAUCUCUAAAAAAAAUAUUAAGAGUAAAAAAUUUAGACGUAAAAAAAAAAAAAGACAAUAAAAUAUAAAGAGGUGAUUAUUUGAAUUGGUGUUAGACAUUAAAAAAAAUACAGACCUGAAAAUGAUAUAGGAAAAACAAUUUAAACCUACCAAUAAAAAAUUAAACGUCGCAUUUGCAUGUGUUAAGAAGUUCAAAAUAGUAAAUUUUGUAUCGUUGUGUACAAUAUUGCACAAGUCAGACAAAUCCAAGAUGUUUAUAACAUUUCCAAGGUAUAAACAUCAACGAAAAUCCUAGAGCUAACUAAAAAUAUAGUUACUUCGACUAAGACAUGAGUGACCUUAUUUAUUUGUCUCUCAAGCACAAUGUGAGAGUUUGUAAAUUAAGAAGCAAAACUAAUUAUUCAUUAUAAUAAAACAUAACCAAACAAUGUAUAGCAUCCUCUCUAACAUUGUUGAAUGCUUCCACCACUGCUUUAUCGAAAACAAAAUUCAAGUUAUAAAAGUUUAGAUCAUGAAUAUCGCUUCACCCAAAUUCAUAUUACACGUGUUUCUGGCGAUCACAAAAACACCUUCAUCACCUCUUAAGCACAUGCCAAUAUAUGUCCAAUUUUGCCGAAAUGAAAAUUAAGCAUCUAUAUUGCACUUAUACCUUCCUUCUUGCAGCCCUUGCCACCGUGCUUUGUGUUGUCUGCUGCAUCAUCGCAAUCUUCUGCCACAUCAAUUGUUUUUGAUGUACGGGAGCCAUGCCUACCUCUUCUGGUCGUGGCAUUAGCUAUGAACCAGUCCUCUUGAUGCCACUUCUGCAAUUUACUCAUUCACAUCUUGUCAAACCUUCCUGCUUUGUUGCUUCUAUAGACUCCAUAAAGUAACAACCAUAUAGUUAGCAAUAACAAGAAGACUGUUGUGUUUGUUGUAUUUGUUUUCAAUAAAUCUUUAUUUAAUUUCAUUCCAUAUCCUUCAAUCCAAUAGCCCUUUUUCUUUUCUUUAAUUAUUAUUGUUUCAGUGUGAUUCUAUGGAUAUAAUUAUGUGAUUCUAUGGAUAUUUAUGUGAUUCUAAAAAAGAAAUUCUGAUUGCAAUAUCCUUCAACACGUACUUCUUAACCUUUUUAAUCACAUUCUCAGGCAUCAUAGAUAAAAUCUGAAGCUUAAACUCCACAUAGAUCCGUUCAUUUUUUAAAAGUGCUUUGUCCAUUUCAGACUCAAAAUUGAUCCCGUGAAAUAUUUUACAGCAUUGAAUAUUUUCUUCCAAAUUCAUAUCAAACAAAUAUGUAUGUCCCGAAGAAGGCAGACAUUUAAAUUGGAGUUCUGGAAAUGUACAUUCAUAACCAUUGACAAAAAAAUUAAAUCCUAAAGUAUACUUAACAUCCGGAAGAUAUAUAUUACGCAUUGUCGAUUAUAUGUGAAAUACUACACAUCAAAUACUAUUGCAAGAAAAAACAACAACAAACCUGACUCAACAACAUUCUUCUAUUUGAGCAACUCAAUGAUUUACAUCCUAAUGCACGAAGACAUUUGAGAUUCGGUGGAAACCCUCUAAGGUGACAUUCACUAAGGCACUCGGGAAGAAUUUUGAAAUUGCCAAAGGAUAAGUCUAGAAAUUUCACAUUAACACACACGACUUGAGAACUAUUUGGAGACAUUCAUAUGGGAGAUAGUAACUUCCGAGAUAAAGAACUUCCACAUUCGAAAACAUUAUUGAAUACAUUUUAUCAUUAUGUUUUGGGAACCUGAGCAUUUCACAUCCCUGUAUUGAUAAGCUGAGAUUUUGAAAUGAAAAUGGCAAUUCUCUUAUGGAAGUUAUACACAUUCCAAUCUGUACAAAUGUGUGUGUUAAAGGGUGUGUUGCUUGUAAUCCUCGGAAUACAAACACACAUUUGAAUUUUUUUUUUUUUUUUUUUUUAUGUGGAAAUUUCUCUUUAGAGUGUGACUAUAUUUUGAAAUGCAACAUACAUUACAUUGAAAUACCAUAAUGUAAUAUUUUGGUAACUAAUAAUCAAACAAUUGAGCUGAAAAAUUAAAAAAUAUAAGUUAAGCAUCCAACUUUUUGAAAUGAAGGUUCACAUCAUUGUACAGAGAUUGUGACGAACCAUCUAUCGGUAUGAAAAUAUGUACAUACUCUUGUAUUCUUAAAAGCAAUUUAAUCAUACAUACAUGACUAGUACAUUGUUUUAAAAAAAAAAUAUCAAGAUGGAUUAAAAAAAAGAGGCUUGCUAUUAAUUACAAACCUAAACUUUGACGAAACACACGAAUUCUCCCGUAUCUUCUUUCGAUAAAUCACUUUUCUGCCAAAUGUGAAAAACACAAGUUCUGUCUCGGAAACUUCCAAGUUCUGAUCUUCAUCUGAUUUUCUCUUUCUAUAAGGAUUGAUGAAUAUCACAUCCUGCUCUAUGCUUAUUUUCUUCUUGAAUCAGUGGAUUGCAAUUUGUCUACUAAGAUUGAAAUUCUCAAAAACUGAGCUGCAGUACAACUGAGGUGCAAAGCAUAUCAAUACUCACAGCCCUUUUGAACAACCAAUUACGGAUUCUGCAGUGCGAGCGACCUUUAGACUUGUCGCAUGAUGUCUAAAGAUGGUUCCCUGACAAUGCUUAGUUUCGGUUAGAGAAAAGUUGUUUUGAACAAAAGAUACUUAUUUACAUCAACAACCAUUGAUAAAAUUAAGGCUCUUCUUUCUAACAUAUUUAGAAAAAUAUUACUAUGGAAUAACAACCAACGUUUUUAUUCAAAAGAUCUUUCAUAGAAAUUAUGAUUAAAACAAUUUAUGCUUUCAAAGUAUAAGGAUCUUACUUGUAACAACAUUCAUGUAGGAUCCGGCACAAUUUAUUAGACGCUGUAUGAGAGUGGCAAACGUCCACUGCACCUUUUAGAAGUUCGGGACUCAAGGGAUACAUCUGGAAGCCCUGAGUGAAAAGUCAAAUUUAAUACAAACAAACAAAGGACAAGUUGGUAAUAUUAACGCACAAAAUAAACACAUUAAUUGUAUUAACAACUUUUUUUAAGAAAUAUAAAAGAUGCAACGAGUGCUUACCUAUAUGGACGAAAAGAGUAUUUAGUAAACUCAUAAAAAAGCUUAAUAUUCUCUCCCCAAUUUAACGAUUCAGGUUUUCAUUGCACUAUUAGUAGAACCCUCUUUUAUAUGGUUCUACACUUUUACCAAGUGGGAAACUUCCUUCCCAUUUCGUAUUUCUGCAAAGUAACCAUCAUUUUUCUUAAAGAAAGGUAAAAACAAGGUAAAAAUUUAUGUCUUCUUAAAUUGGAUAAAAUGCUAUAACCUAAAGGUAAAGUAUGUUAUUUUAAUGGUAAAGUAUGCAGACACUGCUGAAACGAAAUGCUAUAGGCAUACAAGGAAUUCCUUGUUGCAACAAAUUUCUUAUAGAAAGUUGCCCUUAAGUCUACCAAUCAAUUAGCUACUAAAAAUAAAGUAUUGUCUAGAAUUGUUCCAAACCUGCAUGUUAGAAAUCCUUGACUUCAUAGCACAUGUGUUUGUUCAAUUGAAGGUUAAGUGUUCUGAAUUUGCAGGCUCUGAAGUGUAGAUUGUGGUAUUUUUGUUGACGAUUUAAUGAAGGAAAUAAAAUGAAUUUCAUGAAACUUAGGAUGCAGCCAUCUUGAAUUUCAUGAAAGUUAGUAAUGCAUAUCGUUGGAAGUGGCGAGAUAUUGUUAUAGAAAUUGAAAGAGAGAAAAUAAUAACCUAAUGCACCAACACAGACACGCUGACAUGACAAAUGUGAUUACAUUCAACCAAACUCGUCCCUAAUUGCUCAGCCCUACAUAUGCAUACAUGCAUGGUUUUAUAGAUUUGAGGAAACUAUAAUUUCAACUUGUAUUUCUUUGACAUUUUAAAUAUUGGUUAAUACACACUUCAUAAAGCUAUCUGUAUUUAUAAUAUGUUAGUAUUUGGAACCUAACGCUUAUUUCACAUUAUAUUCAUACUCAGUUGUUUAAUCUUGAAACAACUUCUUUCAAUUCUGUUAUAUCUUCACUUUCUCACAUUCUCACCAAAAAUCUUUCAACCAUGAAAAACAAUAAAGAACAAUCUCUUUACACCAUUGAUCUUGAUGAUUCAUCUUUGAAUCAAGCUUAUGCAACAGCAACUACACUCUUCGCAAUUCUUGGUGAAUGGAUGAUCUUGAUUCUCACAUGUUCGAUCGCCUUGUUCUUCAUCCCCCUAACUCCUUCUUUCACACUCCAUUCAACAACUUCAACUGUUCUUAAUGUUACCAAUGGAAAAACCUUCACAGCCAACUUGGGUGUCGAGUUUCUUGCGGAAUACUCCAACACUAUUGGAAGCACAAUUCACUAUGAUUCUCUUCAUUUCUUCCUCUUCCACCGUCAAGAAAACCUCUCAACUUUCUCUAUUUCAAAGCUGUUUUACAACAAACCUGUAGAUGCUUCAACUCAAGAAGCAAAGUUUCGUAACGUGUCUAUGACAAUCGAUGGAUGGAAAUUUCAUGGUAUUGGAGAGGCUUGCGGGUUGGUGUUUUUGGAUUUACGAUUUAGUGCUAAUGCGAGAUACAUUCAACCAAUGUGGCCGGUUUUGAAAGACAAGCUUGAAGGUCAUUGUGGAGAAAUGAAAGUUGAAAUGUGUGAUUCAGGUUCAAGCGUCGUUGUUAACCCGCUUCUUGCAUCGUGCGAUGUUUAUAGCGAUUUGGUGACUAACGUUCGGAUUGCGUUGUUUGGAAUGUUGAUCUUUCUUCUUGUACCAUAUGAUUUUUCGGUUAAAUUCUGUAAAUAAAAACUAUUUGGGGAAGUAGGAACUGUCAACCAAACAAAUAUUAGAAUUGAUGCAUAUAACAUGAAUCAUUAGGAGAAAGGGAGUUUUUUUUUCUUCUUCCUAUUAGAGUUGAUUUGCAUAAGGCUUUAUGGUAAUGGAUGACAAUUGGAACCAAAGUCAUUGGAUACUCACAAAAAUUGAUAGGGUAAAAAUCUGUUUUAUACGUAUGCGCAUGGGCAAGGGUAUGAUUAAAACCAACAUUUUUGUUCAAAAGAUCUUUCAUAGAGAUUAUGAUUAAAACCAUUUAUGCUUUCAAAGUAUAAGGAUCUUACUUGUAACAAAAUUCAUCUAGGAUCCGGCACAAUUUAUUAGACGCUGAGUGAAAGUGGCAAACAUCGACUGCACCUUUUAGAGAUGGAUUCCCAUACUUUCUUCAGACCUGGUUUCUUCUGAUAUCUCUGAAGAAUCCUUAUGAAAUAGUUGAACAAAAUUCAAGUUAUAACAGAUGUGAUAACUAAGUUGAACUAACACAAUAUGCAUUUAUGCUGCAUUUAUAUCACUCUAAACCUCCUGUUUGCUUAUAAGAUAGUCAAAUUAUUAUCAGUAAUUUAGAAAAUAACAUAUGUCUGUAUUGGGUACCCCAAACAUGCCCUCGAUCAGACGUGUGUCUACAAAGCAUUUUCGACAGAAUCUUAUAUCAUGUCUCGUCAUUUGAAAAACUCUUCCAGAUAGAAACAAUUAAUUGGUUUAUAAAGAUAAUAAUGAUAAUGAUGUACCUGGAUCAAGGAAUAUAUCUAUCCAUGGUGUUCCUUUUCUAUUGUUUCAUUAAGCACCAAGUUCCGCAUGCCUGACACUAAAGCUAGAUGUUGCUGCUGCAAAAUUUCUGUCUCUGAAACUCCCACUUCCACAAAUCUAUGCUUUUUCAGCGAAGGAUGAAAUUGUGAUAAUGAAGCAUUGAGAUAUUCAUCUAAUUUUCUCUUUCUACUAUAAGAAUUGGUGAAUAUCACAUCCUCAUUCGUGUUGUUUUUCUCCUUCCACACGUGGAUUCCCAUUUCUGUACUUCUUAACCUUUUAAUCACAUUCACAGGAACCCCAAUGAAAAAAUGAAGCUUAAACUCCACAUAGAUCCAUUCAUUUUUUAAAAGUGCUUUGUCCAUUUCAGACUCGAAAUUGAUCCCGUGAAAUAUUUUACAGCCUUGAAUAUUUUCUUCCAAAUUCAUAUCAAACAAAAAUGUAUGUCCCGAAAAAUGCGGCGAUCUAAAUUUGAAUUCUGGAAAUGUACAUUCAUAACCAUUGACAAACAAAUUAAAUCUGAAAUUAUAUUGAACAUCCGGAAGAAUAAUUAUAGAAGUUAUAGAAGGGAUCUUUUUACAGAACCAGAAAGAAAUUGAUUGACCCCUGCUUUGAUGCUCGAACCAAUCUGGAAUCCUAUUCCUAAUCCCCUCUGUUCCGUUUGGGAAAUAAAAUGAGGUGCACCCAGCCUCAUGUAAUUGCUGUUAGUUUAGCAUAAGAUAUAUAUUACACAUUGUUGAUUAUAUGUGAAAUACUACAUAUCAAAUACUAUUGCAAGAAAAAACAACAACAAACCUGACUCAAUAACAUUCUUCUACUUGAGGAACUCAAUGAUUUACAAUCAUAUGCAUCAAGAUAUUUGAGAUUCGGUGGAAUCCCUCUAAUUUCCUCAAGAUGCGUGUUGAAAUCCAAUAGGAGGGUCCUCAGAAGGUGACAUUCACUAAGGCACUCGGGAAGAAUUUUGAAAUUGCCAAAGGAUAAGUUUAGAAAUUUCACAUUAACACACGACUUAAGAACUAUUUGGAGACAUUCACAUUCAUAUGGGAGAUCGGAAGUAUUGAGACGAAGAAAUUCCACAUUUGAAAACAUUGUAGAAUACAUUUUAUCAUCAUGUUUUGGGCACCUGAGCAUUUCACAUCCCUCUAGGUAUAAGCUGAGAUUUUGAAAUGAAAAUGGCAAUUCUCUUGUGGAAGUUAUACACAUUCCAAUCUCUUUUGUAUUUGUCAUCUUACAUAAUAAUUCUGGAAAACUCUUGAGUCUCCUACAAUAAGAGAUGUCCAAUUCCUUCAGAGAGGGCAGCCAUAAGGGUGGAAAACUCUCAAGCUUACUGCAUCCACAUGCAUUUAUGAUUUCAAGUUUAUUUAGGUUCCAAAUCGAAUCGUGAAUUGCAAUUAAAUUAUUACAAUAUUAAAACGAGAAUUAUUCUAAAUUUGGAAGACCUAAGACAUUGGGUAUAUGGGUUAAAUAUUGACAAUUGUCCAAUGUCAAGACUUUCAUAUCCUCAAACCUCUGCAUAAACACAAAGAAGAAACAAACAAAUAAAUUAAAAAUAAAACACUAUACUCUCGUAAUGAUAUUAUUUUCUUGACAGAACAAAAUCAUUGUGAAUUUAUAAAUAUAUACAUUUAGAAAAUGAAAUUAUUUCACUUGCCUUGCUGCCAAUACAAGAUGAUAGAGACUCUGUAGAACAUCCAUUCAAUUUCAAUACUCUCAAACUGCUUGGAAGAUACUUGGGAUCUUUAGUAAAAGAGACAUUUUUAAUAAUAAGUGUUUUGAGAUUUGUCAUCUUCUUGAAAGCCUUUCCAUUCCAGUCUAUUACCAGAUCCAUUGAGGGAGAAUUCAGAUAUAUCAUCUCAAUUUUACUUGUUCCCUUUUAACAGAAAAAAAAAAAAAAAAAAGAAUCAACCACAAUACAAAUAAAAUAUUGAGAACAUGUAAAUGUAAUUAAGGGUAAAAUAAAUAUUUGUUCAUAGAUAUCAAUCUUACUUUGUUUUCCUGUAAAAUUUGAAUUAUGUCACCACGACACCACAACCGACUACGCUUUUCAGGCUCUUUAGGUGAUUCUUUCCGGACAAUUUCUUUACCCAUGACCUCUAGCAAGUCAUGUAAUGUCACUUCAUUCAAAGUGUAACAUUCACUAAUUUUUAUGAGAGACUUAUCAACCAAUCCUCCAAUGUGGCUCUUUAUGCAAUAACCAUAAUGAAGUUUAAGUAUCUCUUCGACUUUUGCCAAUAUACAUCCUUUGAAGAAACAAGCAAUAUCCAAAAAGACACUUUGUUGUUCUUCGUCCAAAGCAUCAAAGCUUACUUUAAGUAUCUUUUGGAUAUCUUCGUUUGGAAUUCUUUGAUACUUAUCUAAUGUAGACUCACAUUCUGAAAUACUCUUUCCAAACAAGUUGGAACCCACUACUUCUAUAGCUAAUGGAAGGCCAGAAGCAUACACGACUGCACGGUUUAAAAUCUCUUCAUAACUUGAAGGAACUUUAUAACUUUUAAAAGCCAUCCACCUCAACAAUUCAAGAGCAUUUUCCCUAGACAUCCCUUUUACUUCAUGCAUAAUUUCUAUCUCAUGAGAAGAUAGGCAAGAGCUUUGUACCUUAUCGGGUAGUCCACCCUUGGAUCCUUUGUACUCCAACUCCACUGCUUUGGUGGCACACUCGUCCAGGAUAUCAUCAAGGACGUAGGCAGCAUCUUUAAGCUUAAGCAACCAAUCCUUGAUAGCUUUGUUAGUAAAUUGUUUCUCCUCAGUAUCUUCAAGUGUAGCUUUGAUUGUAGUGAGCAUGCUUGAAAAACUUUUGAAGUCUUUUUCAAAACCAAGAAGUAGGCCAAGCUCCUUCUGAACGAGUGAGCUCAAAUUAUCAAGGACAAGUUCAAGCACAGCUUCAGCCAUCUUCUAGGUUUACUCGCAAAAUUAAAGAACAGGUUUGUUUGUAUGACUGAGAAAUGUAGUGUGGUAGUAUAAAGCAAGAAGAUUAACAAUAAGGAUUGUUAAGUGAAGUGUUAGAAAAAGUUAUGCGUCAACAUGUGAAGUCAACAAUGAAUGAUCUUUAUGGAAGUUUUGUGGAAACAAUCAAAUGAAAUUGACAGUCCCACCACCAAUAAUGCUCUCUGGAUUUUUACUUAAUAGCUGCUGAAGUUUCUUCUAUAUGGAAAUAAAAAUGUUAGGUGAGAAAAUAAAAAUCUUCACCACUGUAGGUCAUAACCAGUUGAAUUGCUUUGUAAGAGUUUUGCUUGCUUAACCAUUGCUCCGGGCCAAGUUUAACAUUCUCCUUAAUGCUCCGGGUCGUAACUCUUCAAUCCCGUAAAAAAUAGUAAAAUGUAAUUUAAGUUAUUAGUUUUUUUUAUUGGAAAUUAGUUAUUACCAUUUAUAGUUGUGAAGUUUGGGUACUUCAUGAUGCACUCAGAAGCAGCUAGAGAGCGCUAAACCUAGAUUGAAAAGAAAAAAGUUUGCAUGCGACAAACUUGUAAAAAUAGGGUUGCAGAAUCCACCAGAAAUUGAGAAAACUCUAUAAAAUAUUAUUGAAUGACUCUAUAAAAUAUAAAAUAUUAUUGAAUGAAUAAAAGUUUCUUCUUAGACUAUAACUGUUAAUAAAUGGGAAAAUAAUAAAACCCUAAUGGGCUGAAAAUCCAAAAUAGAACAUAAAAAUAGACAUUAUUAAAAUUGGCCUAAAAUAAUAAAUUACUAAGGCUUUGUUUGAGAGUUUUGAGGGGAAGGAAAGGAAAGGCUAAGGAGGGGAAGGAAAGGAAAGGGAGGGAAGGGAGAAAGGAGGGAAAACCUUCCCCUUGUUUGGGAGUUAAAACACUCCACCAAAGAAAGGAGAUGAAUGACUUAUGUUAUAAUUUUACUAUUUUACCCUUUUUUCUCUUAAAAUUAAUACAAUGUGUUCUAGUUUGUAAUUUAUCUUCUAAUUUAUUCAAAAGAGCUUAUCUCAUUAAAAAUAAAUUAUUUAUAGAAUAAAAAAAAAUUAUUACAAUCACUUUAUAAAAAACAACUUAUUUAUACAAAACAACUUAUUACGGUCUCUUUUUUUAAAAAUAGCUUAUCUCGUGAAAAACAAAUUAUUACUAUCUUUUUUUUUAGAAACAACUUAUUCAAAACAACUUAUUUAUGCAAAACAACUUAUUACAAUCUCUUUUUUCAAAAACAGCUUAUUCAAAACAACUUAUUUAUAUAAAACGGCUUAUUACGACAUUUUCAAAAACAACUUAUUCAAAAUAGCUUAUUUCUACAAAAUAGCUUUUUACGACCUCAUUUUAAUAAACAACUUAUUCAAAACAACCUAUUUAUGCAAAACAGCUUAUUACAACCUCUUUUAAAAAAACAACUUACUCAAAAGAGCUUAUUUAUGCAAAACAGCUUAUUACGACAUCUUUUUCAAAAACAGCUUAUUCAAAACAGCUUAUUACGACCUCUUUUCAAAAACAACUUAUUUAUACAAAACAACUUAUUACGAUCUCUUUUUCAAAAACAGCUUAUUCAAAACAUAUUAUUUAUGAAAAACAGCUUAUUCAAAAUAACUUAUUUAUGCAAAACAACUUAUUAUGAUAUGUUUUGAAUAAGUUGUUUUUGAAAAAGAGGUCGUAAUAAGUUGUUCUGAAUAAGCUGUUUUUGAAAAAGAGAUCGUAAUAAGCUGUUUUGCAUCAAUAAGGUGUUUUUCUAAAAGAGGUCGUGAUAAGUUGUUUUACAUAAAUAAGUUGUUUUUGAAAAUGAGGUCGUAAUAAGUUGUUUUGCAUAAAUAAGCUGUUUUUGAAAAAGAUGAUGUAAUAAGUUUUUUUUUUAUUUUUAUAAAUAAGUUGUUUUGAAUAAGCUAUUUUUUGAAAAAGAGAUCGUAAUAAGUUGUUUUUUAUAAAUAAGCUGUUUUUGAAAAGAGGUUGGAAUAAGCUGUUUUGGAUAAAUAAGCUGUUUUUAAAAAAGAGGUCGUAAUAAGCUGUUUUGCAUAAAUAAGUUGUUUUUGAAAGAGAUCUUAAUGAGCUGUUUUGCAUAAAUAAGCUGUUUUCGAAAAAGAGGUCGUAAGAAGCUGUUUUGCAUAAAUAAGAUGUUUUGAAUAAGCUGUUUUUGAAAAUGAGGUCGUAAUAAGCUGUUUUGCAUCAAUUAGUUGUUUUGAAUAAGUUGUUUUUUGAAAAGAGGUCGUAAUAAGCUGUUUUGCAUCAAUAAGCUGUUUUGAAUAAGUUGUUUUUUGAAAAGAGGUUGUAAUAAGCUGUUUUGCAUCAAUAAGUUGUUUUGAAUAAGUUGUUUUUUUAAAAAGAGGUCGUAAUAAGCUGUUUUGCAUAAAUAAGUUGUUUUGAAUAAGCUGUUUUUUAAAAAAGAGGUCGUAAUAAGCUGUUUUGUAUAAAUAAGUUGUUUUGAAUAAGCAAUUUUUGAAAAUGAAGUCGUAAUAAGUUGUUUUGUAUAAAUAAGUUGUUUUGAAUAAGUUGUCUUUGAAAAAGAUGGUAAUAAUUCAGUAAUGUCUAAAAUUGGAAUUUUGAAUUAUUAUGAGGGCAAAAUUGUCAAUUAGUAUGUUUAACCCCCCAAAACCUCCAAAUUUGGAGGAACUUUAAAAUUUGACAAAUGAAACCCUUUAAAACCCCCAUAACCUUUCCCUUGUUUCUUUAAAGAGAGUUUUUUUUCUUCUUCUUAUUAGAGUUGAUUUGCAUAAGGCUUUAUGGUAAUGGACGGCAAUUGGAACCAAAGUCAUUGGAUACACAAAAAUUGAUAGGGUAAAAAUCUGUUUUAUAAGUAUGCGCAUGGGCAAGGAUAGUUACCUGUACAAAUGUGUGUGUUGAAGGGUGUGUUGCUGGUACUCCUCAGAAUACAAACACACAUUUGUUUAGAGUGUGACUAAACCUAUUUUGAAAUGCUACAUACAUUACAUUGAAAUACCAUAAUGUAAUAUUUUGGUAACUAAGAAUCAAACUCUAAUAGAAAUUGUGAUGAACCAUCUGUCGGUAUGAAAAUAUGUACAAACUCUUUAAUCAUACAUACAUGACCAGUACAUUGUUUUUUUAAAAAAAAAAAUAUCAAGAUAGAUUAAAAAAAAUAGACUUGCUAUUAAUUACAAACCAGAACUUUGACGAAACACAAGAAUACUCCCGUUUCUUUGUUCGAUAAAUAGCUUUUCUACCAAAUAUGGAAAACACAAGUUUUGUCUCUGAAACUUCCAAGUUCUGUUCUUCAUCUGAUUUUCUCUUUCUAUAAGGAUUGAUGAAUAUCACAUCCUGCUCCAUGCUUUUUUUCUUCUUGAACACAGUGGAUUCUAAUUUGUCUACUAAGAUUGAAAUUCUCAAAACUCUCCAACUGAGGUGCAAAGCAUAUCAAUACUCACUGCCCUUUCGAACAACCAACGGAUUCUGAAGUACGAGCGACCUGUAGACUUGUCGCAUGAUGACUAAAGAUGGUUUCCUGACAAUGCUUAGUUUUGGUUAGAGAAAAGUUGUGUAAAUUACCGACAAAUGUUCAAUUUUAUGCGAGAGAUUUUUGUUAAAAAGUGGAGAUAGGGAGAUAUAAGGUUGAUAUUAGAAACAUAACGUCCUCAUGUUUAUUUCAACAUGAGAGGAUCCACUCUUGAAAUUGUCAUACACACCAUUAUGCAGAAAACAAACAUUCUAAGUUUGUAACGUAAUUCAGUUCUCUUCUUGAUGUAUAAUCCACUCAUGCCAACCUUAACGUAAUGCUUAGAAGUACAAAACCAAAACUGAUUUAUGAAAUGAAAUUCUCCACUUCCAUUUUCAAGAUAAAAACAAAAUAGAGAAAAACUUUUUUACACCGUCAAGUUCAUAUAAAUGUUUCCGCAACAGAUUUUUUUUUUUUUUGCAAGUUUAAAUCUUUCAAACUAGCUAUUGAACUAUGAUAUAAGAUUAAGUUUCUAUCUAAUAUGACAUUUUGGACAAAAGAUACGCAUUUACAACCAAAGAUAAAAUUAAGGCUUCUUUCUAACAUAUUUAUAAAAAUAUUACUAUGGAAUGACAACCAACAUUUUAUUCAAAAGAUCUUUCAUAGAGAUUAUGAUUAAAACCAUUUAUGCUUUCAAGGUAUAAGGAUCUUACUUGUAACAACAUUCAUCUAGGAUCCGCCAUAAUUUAUUAGACGCUGCGUGAAAGUGGCAAACGUCCACUGCACCUUUCAGAAGUUUGGGACUGAAGGGAUACAUCUGGAGGCCCUGAGAGAUGGAUUCCCAUACUUUCUUCAGACCUGGUUUCUUCUGAUGUCUCUGAAGCAUCCUUAUGAAAUAAUUGAACAAAAAUUCAAGUUAUAACAGAUGUGAUAACUAACACAAUAUACAUUUAUGCUGCAUUUAGAUCACUCUAAACAUCCUGUUUGCUUAUAAGAUAGUCAAAUUAUUAUCAGUAAUUUGAGAAAAUCACAUAUGUCUGUAUUGGGUACAGACACAAAUCGGACCCCGAACAUGCCCUCGAUCAGACGUGUGUCUACAAAGCAUUUUCGACAGAAUCUUAUAUCAUGUCUCGUCAUUUGAAAAACUCUUCCAGGUAGAAACAAUUAAUUGGUUUAUAAAGAUGAUAAUAAUGAUAAUGAUGUACCUGGACCAAGGAAUAUAUCUAGCCAUGGUGUUCCUUUUCUAUUGUUUCAGUAAGCACCAAGUUCCGCAUGCCUGACACUAAAUGUCACGACCCAAAAUUCACAAUCGUGACCGGCGCACGAACUAGAACAUUCUAGUCCGGCAAGCCUAUUGACGACACAUGACAACUAUAAUUUACAAUUUAUAAAUUGCUAUCAACUGAAAUUUCGACAGAGUAUCCUCCGUAUUUUUAACAUUUUCCAAGGUUUUAAUCCUGUUUAUAAACCUGUAUUCUCAUCCGGAGUUUCAAAUUGACAUAUUUACAUAUUUGUACAUCUCAAAAUAAAACAUUCCUAAACUCCAAAUAGCUGCAGAUAAUCUGACUCAACAAAUACAUAAACAACAGAGACAUCCAUCAAAGAAGCCUACCAAAAAAAAGUGACGCGGCAGAACUUGAGUCUACUAGCAGCUCUCUACUUAGCUGCUUGGAAAUCUGAAAAAAAUAGAGAAUGAAAGAGUAAGUCACAAGGACUUAGUGAGAGACAACAACCACCACCACUGGAAGGGAAACACACAAGGGCACGAUUAUUUACUUUAUCAAAUCUAUUGUCAAUUUACAAAAAUAGUAACCGUAUAAAAUUAUAUUAAUCCGCAAUCGUUUAUACGCAUGAAAUUUACACAUGUAUAAAUAUUUUCAAUCAAGUAAGAAUAAUUCAAAAAAAAUCCAACAUCAUAAAGAGGUGAAAAUAAAGUUACAAGCCUUUUAAAGAAAUUAUAGAAAACUCCGUUUAGAGAAAAUAAUCAACUUCAAAUAGAAUAUAAAAUCGCGUUCAGUUUAAUAAUACCAAAAUAAUCAACUUUAUAGAAAGUAUUGAAAUCCAACUUUAAUGAAAAUAACCAAAUGGGUGAAUCGAGAACUAGCUCCAUCUCGUUGAUAGCCCUCUCCUCCUAAUGGUGGCCUUCCCAUGGGGCGGCUCCAUCUAACGGAUAGCUCUUUUCUCUCGACUCAAAACAAAGUGUAAACAUUUUCAAUUAGGGAGUUUACAUCUCAUUGAUAGCCCUCUCCUCCUAAUGGCGGCCUUUCCAUUGGGGUGGCUCCAUCUAAUGGAGUAACUACCUAAUCGAAAUCACAUACUAGGUGCACCUAGGUCGUCGUCAUUAUAACCAUAAUUUUCAAAACACCAUUCUUAAAACACAAUGCUAAAACCAUAUUUCACAACAUAACAAAACUUAUUUCAAAAUACGUAUCAUCAAAACUCAAUCGAAAAUCUACUACUUAUAAUCAUAAGUAAAUCCAAAUUCAAAUCCAAAUCCAAAUCGCGUACAAAUUAAUAUCAAAUCCUUUCAAAGACGCAUAUUUCAAAACCACGUUUCACAACAUAUCAAAACUACUAUGAAAAUACAUACAAUCAAAUUCUCCAUUUCAAUCCCUCUACUUUAUAAAUCGCAAGUAAAAUCCAAAUCCAAAUAGAGUGCAUAUUAAUAUCGAAAGUUUCCAAAAACAUACAUUUCAAACCGUAUUUCUCAUAUCUCCAAAACACAUGUCAUAAUAUAUGCAGCCAAAUCUCAAUUUCAACCAUUGGCCCAACAAAUCAUAGAUAAAUUCAAACAGAGACCAUAAUAAUAUCGAUGACUUUAAACACGAGCAUCAUUGAUAAGAAAAAGUUCAAAGGGUGUGUUCCCCAUUUUUUUUUAUAAACACUUUAACAUAGAAAAUUAUCAAAAUAUCAAUAAUAUUAAUAGGGAAAAUAUGCGAUAAUGAUCGUUAUCAACUCACCGAUAUGACGAAUCGAUUAAAUUUGCUCUCCAACCACCCUAGGAUAAACAUUCAAAGCAGCAUCCCACAUUUAUUUCCAGAAAAGCCGAAGUAAAAGGAAUUGAUUCCAAUUUAUUUCUUCCCAAUGCAGCAACAAGGUUCGCCAUGGUUUUGGAUUCCUUUGAACAGCAACAACCGUGGCACCAUAUUACAAUCUUCUUGGUUCCAUAAUCUUGCAAUAUACAGACUAAUUUGUCACUGUACUUGUUGGUUAUUAUGGCUCUAAGCUUCCCAAAACCUCAAAGAAUCAAAAUGACCAACUUUCAAUGAAUGGGCUCUUGUACUUCUUUACUACAUUUACCCUAAUCCCAAAUUUUAUCCAAGUGUACUUGUAGAAUUAGGGAAAAGUUAUGCUUAGAUAUGUAAUUCAUCUCAUGAGUGUUUGAAUUUUGAAAGGAAAUUGGUUAUUGAAAGAGAGAAGAAGAUUGGGUCAUGGGUGAAGGAUGGCAAUGGAAGUAGAAGGUGAAAGAGAGAACUAGAAAGUUAGGUGGUGGUUUCCUCUAGUUUAUAUAUUUUUUAUAUAUAUGUUGUCCUUUUUUUAUUUUUAUUUUUUUUCUCACUAAAGCUAGAUGUUGCUGCUGCAAAAUUUCUCUCUCUGAAACUCCGACUUCCAUAAAUCUAUGCUUUUUCAGAGUAGGAUGAAAUUGUGAUAAUGAAGCAUUGAGAUAUUCAUCUAAUUCUCUCUUUCUACUAUAAGGAUUGGUGAAUAUCACAUCCUCAUUUAUGUUACUUUUCUCCUUCCACACGUGGAUUCCCAUUUCUGUACUUCUUAACCCUUUAAUCACUUUCUCAGGAUUCCCACUGAAAACACGAAGCUUAAACUCCACAUUGAUCCAUUCAUUUUUUAAAAGUGCUUUGUCCAUUUCAGAUUCCAAAUUGAUCCCGUGAAAUAUUUUACAGAGUUCAACAUUUUCUUCCAAAUUCAUAUCAAACAAAUAUGUAUGUCUCGAACACUGCAGCCAAUUCAAUUCAAAUUCUGGAAAUGUACAGUCAUAACCAUUGACAAACAAAUUAAAUUCGAAACUAUAUCCAACAUCCGGAAGAAUAAUAAUAAAAUUUAUAGAAGGGAUCUUUUUACGGAACCAGAAAGAAAUUGAUUGACCCCUGCUUUGAUGCUCGAACCAAUCUGGAAUCCCCUCUGUUCCGUUUGGGAAAGAAAAUUUGGUGCACCCAGCCUCAUGUAAUUGCUGUUAGUUUAGCAUAAGAUAUAUAUUACACAUUGUUGAUUAUAUGUGAAAUACUACAUAUCAAAUACUAUUGCAAGAAAAAACAACAACAAACCUGACUCAAUAACAUUCUUCUACUUGAGGAACUCAAUGAUUUACAUCGAUAUGCAUCAAGAUAUUUGAGAUUCGGUGGAAGCCCUCUAAUUUCCUCAAGAUGCCUGUUGAAAUCCAAUAGGAGGGUCCUCAGAAGGUGACAUUCACUAAGGCACUCGGGAAGAAUUUUGAAUUUGCCAAGGGAUAAGUUUAGAUAUUUCACAUUAACACACGACUUGAGAACUAUUUGGAGACAUUCAUAUGGGAGAUAGUAAGGAUUGAGAUGAAGAGCUUCCACAUUUGAAAACAUUGUAGAAUACAUUACAUCAUCAUGUUUUGAGAACCUGAGCAUUUUACAUCCCUUUAGUGAUAAGCUGAGAUUUUGAAAUGAAAAUGGCAAUUCUCUUGUGGAAGUUGUACACAUUCCAAUCUCUUUUGUAUUUGUCAUCUUACAUAAUAAUUCUGGAAAACUCUUGAGUCUCCUACAAUAAGAGAUGUCCAAUUCCUUCAGAGAGGGCAGCCAUAAGGGUGGAAAACUCUCAAGCUUGCUGCAUCCACAUGCAUUUAUGAUUUCAAGUUUAUUUAGGUUCCUAAUCGAAUCGUGAAUUGCAAUUAAAUUGUUACAUUUUUCAAACGAGAAUUCUUCUAAAUUUGGAAGACCUGAGACAUUGGGUAUAUGGGUUAAAUAUUGACAAUUGUCCAAUGUCAAGACUUUCAUAUCCUCAAACCUCUGCAUAAACACAAAGAAGAAACAAACAAAUAUAUUAAAAAUCAAAUACUAUACUCUCAUGGUGAUAUUUUUUUCUUGAUGGAAACAGAAUCGUGUGAAUUUAUAAAUAUAUACAAUUAGAAAAUGAAAUUAUUUCACUUGCCUUGCUGCAAAUACAAGAUGAUAGAGACUCUGUAGAACAUCCAUUCAAUUUCAAUACUCUCAAACUGCUUGGAAGAUACUUGGGAUCUUUAGAAAAAGAGACAUUUUCAAUAAUAAGUGUUUUGAGAUUUGUCAUCUUCUUGAAGGCCUUUCCAUUCCAGUCUAUUACGGGAUCCGUUGAGGGAGAACUCAGAUAUAUCAUCUCAAUUUUACUUGUUCCCUUUUAACAGAAAAAAAAAAUAAAAUGAAUCAACCACAAUACCAAUAAAAUAUUGAGAACAUGUAAAUGUAAUUAAGGGUAAAAUAAAUAUUUGUUCAUAGAUAUCAAUCUUACUUUGUUUUCCUGUAAAAUAUGAAUUAUGUCAUCGCGACACCACAAUCGACUACGCUUUUCAGGCUCUUUGGGUGAUUCUUUCCGGACGAUUUCUUUACCCAUGGCCUCUAGCAAGUCAUGUAAUGUCACUUCAUUCAAGUGGCACUUUAUGAGAGACUUAUCAACCAACCCUCGAAUGUGGCUAUUUAUGCGAUAACCAUAAUGACGUUGAAGUAUCUCUUCAACUUCUGCCAAACUACAUCCUUUGAAGAAACAAGCAAUAUCCAAAAAGACACUUUGUUGUUCUUCGUCCAAAGCAUCAAAGCUUACUUUAAGUAUCUUUUGGAUAUCUUCAUGUGGAAUUCUUUCAUACUUAUCUAAUGUAGAGUCACAUUCUGCAAAACUCUUUCCAAACAAGUUGGAACCCACUACUUCUAGAGCUAAUGGAAGGCCAGAAGCAUACACAACUGCAUGGUUAAAAAUCUCUUCAUAACUUGAAGGAACUUUGUAAUUUUUAAAAGCCAUCCACCUCAACAAUUCAAGAGCAUUUUCCGUAGACAUCCCUUUUACUUCAUGGAUAAUUUCUAUCUCAUGAUUGGUUAGUAAGUGUUUGUUACGAGUGGUAAUGAUAACUCUGCUUCCACAGCCGAACCAAUCACGUCCUCCAGCCAAAGCAUGCAGUUGUUCCAAAUUGUCAACAUCAUCGAGAAUCAAAAGAAUCUUCUUUGUAUGCAGCCUUUCCUUUAUAUAAGGAAUUCCCUCACUAACACCUCCUAACUUAAUUUUCAGUGCUAGUGUUUUUAAAAGGAGUUCCUCCUGGAGAUGUUUCAAUUGAUUUGAAGCUGAAUUCUCUCUCACAUUUUCAAGAAAACAUGAGCAUUCAAAUUGAUCAGCAAUAAAAUUAUAAAUUGCUUUCGCAAGUGUUGAUUUACCCAUGCCUCCAAUGCCAUAAAGUCCUAACAUGCGGACUCCAUCAUCAGAUCCUUUAUCAAGAAGCGCUUUCACUUGUUGUACUCGAGACUGCAAUCCAACAGGGUAAUUGGCAACAUGUAAGGGCUGACGACUGAUCUUGUUGGAGACGUAUUUGACUAUAUCUCCAAUAAACUUGUAUUCAUAUCUAUUCAUGUCCAAUAAGAUAAAUCAGUGUGUAACAACAUCACAGUCACAUCCAUGUCCUCAUAGUAUAUCAUACAUUUCUAACUAUUUUGACUUAUAAAUAACUAAUACUUGUUUAAAAACGUAAUUAAAAAGGUGUUUCCAAUUUAGGCUUUAAGAUGGUAUCAUUGAGGAAUAAAAAUUAAAUAAAUAAAAUGCAAAAAGGAAAACAAGAAUUAAGUAAAGAGGAGUACCCAGAACUAAAAUGGUAGCCGGACAAGUUAGCAGCUUCGGUCAGAGCUAACUUCCAUUGAUGCAACCGCUCCAUGUUUUUCUUGUUAUUUUGGAAACUCUUUCCGUGCUUAGUGAGAUGUUCACCAUAACUCCCACUUUGAUGUCGUAUGUGAGUAGGAUCUACGCCAUAGAAAACAGGCAAAACGAGACGACCUUUUGUCUUGUAGCAGUGAAUGAUGUGAACAAGUUCGUCCAAACAAAAUGAAGAAGAGGCAUAGUUGAUAGAAAACACAGGAAUGAAGAUCCUAGACUCUUCAAUGGCAUUGUCGAGUGAUGGUUUGAUUUCAUCCCCACUUUGCAGGUCACGGUCAUCAAUGAAGGUGUGGAUUCCCUUGUCAGUAAGAGCUUUGUAGAGAUGGCCAGUAAAACCGUCACGAGUGUCAGUGCCCCUGAAGCUGAGGAACACUUGGUAAGUGAAUCGAUAGGAAAAUGAAGAGGAUGAGGAAGGUGAUUGCAUAGCCAUGAGAAUUGAGAGAAACUAGAUGAAAAAAGAGUUUGAGAAUGCAGAAUAUGAGGUUAAGUUUUUGUGGUCUGAAAUGUGGAGUCUUCGGUAUGAGUUUGUGGUGUAUAUAACAAGGACAAACUUAGGAAAAAAAAUGGUCUGUUAAACUUCCUGACUACUUCCUAUAGCCGUGUGGACCAAUCACACAUUAAAUAACAUUCUACUGCCACAUCUUCUUGCUAAUUUCUUCAAUGUGAUUGCUGUUCAACUUUCGGACAAAACUAAAAUAAAUAAGUAAAAAACCAAAGAAUAUAAUGGGGGUCUUUGUACUAGUGGUAGUUUAAUGGAAUAUUGGUUGCACAAGAAACUUGUAAAGAAAAUCCUUGGCAUAUGACGCGAAAAAAUGAAGAAAGACAGCAAGAAGAAAACAAGAUUAUGAACAAUGGCAACAUCCAAGAAGUUAGACCAUUGACCAGAGGAUUAAUUAAAGAACUUGCUUACAUCACUAUGUUUUCUUAUAAUUAAUAACUUUAAAAAGAAUCAGCAUUAGGUCCAAGGUUUGAUCCCCGACCGAUGUAUGGAAAAACAGAAGAAUUAAACUCUUUAAUGGAUAGAUUGGUUCUUAUUAUUAUCACUGGUUUAUUAAUUUAAUAUCUUUUUUUAUAUGUUAUUAUUAAAAUAUAAAGAGUAUCUCUAAAAAAAAUAUUAAGAGUAAAAAAUUUAGACCUAAAAAAAAAAUAAACAUGACAAUAAAAUAUAAAGAGGUGAUUAUUUGAAUUGGUGUUAGACAUUAAAAAAAAUACAGACCUGAAAAUGAUAUAGGAAAAACAAUUUAAACCUACCAAUAAAAAAUUAAACGUCACAUUUGCAUGUGUUAAAAAGUUCAAAAUAGUAAAUUUUGUAUAUUGCACAAGUGAGACAAAUCCAAGAUAUUUAUAACAUUUCAUUAAUGUGUAAAUAAUUUAUACAUGUUGGUACAUCAACGAAAAUACCAGAGCUAACUAAAAGUAUACUUACUUCGACUAGAACAUGAGUGACCUUAUUUAUUUCUCUCUCAAGCACAAUGUGAGAGUUUGUAAAUUAAGAAGCAAAACUAAUUAUUCAUUAUAAUAAAACAUAACCAAACUAUGUAGCAUCCUCUCUAACAUUGUUGAAUGCUUCCACCACUGCUUUAUCGAGAACAAAAUUCAAGUUAUAAAAGUUUAGAUCAUGAAUAUCGCUUCACCCAAAUUCAUAUCACAGGUGUUUUUAACAUCCGGAAGAAUAAUAAUAGAAGUUAUAGAUGGGAUCUUUUUACAGAACCAGAAAGAAAUUACUUUGAUUUUUGAAAAGAUGAUUGUGAUUGAGGUUGAAAACUCUCGGAAAACAAUUAGGCUAUAUUUCCUACUUCACAAAAAGAAACAUUUUAACAUGUAGCUUGAACAUGAAGGAAGCAAAGGCCCUGGAACAUUUUUCGUCAUUAAUAGAUAUACAUUUUGUGUCAUCAAUUUAGUAGACUUUUUGAUGUUGCGUUGGAUAAGUAAAAAUUGGUUGCAGAUAUGUUUGAAGAGGAGGGUUGAGUUAAAAUGAAUUUCAAUAGACAGUAAAUAAAAUAAAAAGGUCCAACUUCUCAUAAUAGCUUUCCAAAAACCUUGUCUUGGUUUCUCAUAAUUGUGUUGGUUUCUCAGUAUGCCAAGACAAGGUUUCUGGAAAGCUAUUCAAUCUUGUUGUCAUGAAUUAAGAUAACUUUUUAUCGCAUUUCACAUAGUAUUACUAUUCGUUGUGUCUACAAUUGUAAGAAAAGAACAGGAAAUGAACAACAUUCUCAAGAAUAUCACAUGAAACAAGACUGAUGCAAUAGUUUUCCAAAAAUACCCUAAGCUAGUAAAUUAUUUGAAGUAUGAAAUAGUUUUCAGAAUUACUAACAAACCAUUGCAAAGCUAAUAAACCAAACCAACAGGGUAAGUAGGAUCAUUAUUUCUCUAGAAUGAAUCAAUUCACACCAUUUGAAAAUGUAUGCCCGGAAUCUUUUGAGACCGAAUAAGCAGGAACAUCAGCAGAAGUCAUUGUAUAUCUAACAGACCCAUUGGCGGUAAAAGUAUCUCCAGAUUCAAGAUGAGCAUCAAAAACAAAAACAAUUUCUCCAGCAUGAGCUUCAUCAACUUCCUCGAUUUUAUUAACUUCGUCUCUUGCCCAAACGAGGAAUCUGAAUCUUCUUACCAGUGUUAACAUUUGUAAUAAAAUCACCCUUCUUAAUAACACCCUGAUAGAUUCUUAGAUAAGUUAAUUUGAAAUACCUCUCAUGCCAAUUUGCAAAAGCCUUUGCAACAAAUGGUGCAUCAAUACUUCCAGACAAUUCAACUUUCUCACCAUUCUUAUUUAGAUCAAGAGCAUAAUUACUAACAUCGAUUGGACUUGGCAAAUACCUAAUUACACCCUCCAUUAAUAGUUUUAACGUCUCAUAGCUCUCAUCACCAAUGAUAAUUGGUACAAAUUUCAUUGAUAUAGUUGCCCUACGAAUUGCAUCAUCGAGAACAGACUCUGGAAUUUUGCUGCCACCAUGAAAAGCUUUAGAAAGUUUAUCAUCAACCUCUGACACAAUUUCAAUGAGUUCGCGUCUUUUCUUCAACACAAAGGCUUGCAUAUCUUCGGGUAUUUCUCCUACUUCUACAUCAUAAUUAUAAUCAGGUGUUUCAGAGCGAAAAAAGUAGGCCUUUAACUUAUCAAAAAGUCUAGCAAAGAAUUUAAGGGGGAAAAAGUAGGCCUCUAACUUGACAAGAUCAACAAAUCCAAUAUAAUAAUCGUUAAAGUGUAUUGGAACUUGAAUUGCAGCACAACGAUGAUUAAGCUUAGAUUUUACUUGAUCUACAAUGUUCCAUAGAUCUGCUCCUUCCUGAUACAGAUCGUCAAUAAAUAUAAGCCUAGGAAGUUGAAAUCUUGUCAUUUGUUGAUCCAUAGUAAUGGAUUUGGUUUUAACACCAUCAACACAAGAAAGAACAAGAAUUGCACUGUCGAAAAUACGCGAAGCUAGCUGAACAUCAACUUUGAAAUCAACAUGAUCAGAACAUAUCUUCUCCAAAAAAGUAUCAAAACAAGAAAUGUCAAAUAGGGUUUUAUUUUUAUAGGAAGUGACAUAUGUUUUGGUAUGUAUGUUGUCUAUCUCGUCCUCAUAUACAAAACGUGGGUCUUCGUAGUUCGGAUAGCGAUGACUUUCUAAUAAUACUAUUUCCCUGUCCGUCCGCUUCUUAACGUAGUCGUAUCCAGACAUCCAGACGUGGCGCAGCUUCUCCACUGACUUGUUGGAGAAGUGACGGAGGUGGAGAGGGCUGGGGAGAACGGAGGAAGAUGGAUAAAUAGAGGAGGCGGAGGAGGAGCGUACGGUGGAGUAGAGAAGCAGUGGAAAGGAGGACCUUGAGAAGAAACGAUUCAUGGCGGCAAGGGGUUUGAUGGAAGCUACAGUGUAGUAAGCAAACCUAACUAGGUUUUGUUUAUUUGGAUUAAUAUGCCUUUACCUUUUUAAUAGGCUUAAACACACUUUUUACCCCCCUAAGUUUGCAAACGUUGCAAUUUUGGCCCUCUAUUAAAAAAAAUGGCAAAAGUGACCCCUAAUGUUUACCCCCUUUUAUAAAAUUCCAAUUUUGACUAAGUCAAUGCCUACGUGGCAGCUUAUUUGACUAUAUGACAUGCCACGUGUGUAAUUAAUAAUUAAAAAUAAAUAAAAAUGUCACAUAAUCAAUUAAUCAUUUUGAAAAUUAAAUAAAUGAAAAAGAAAAUUAAAAACCCAUAAAAUUCAUAAAUCUUCAUCUUCAACACAAGCCCUGCAAAAUCAUCUUCAACACCCACAAACUCAUUUUCAUAGAAAUCCAAAAAAUCAAAUCCAGUUACACAUUCUUUUCUAAAUCUACAUUAUAUUUCCAUCACAGAAUCACACAAACAACCCUUUUUAAUCCUAAAUCAAAAACCGAUUUUGAAACCAAAAUCGAAUACCCAAAUGGCUUAUUAAUCAGAACCACCUUCUUCCUCAAAAUGGGUCACUCAAAUUUCCCACCAUGGAAAGACACCAACACACAUCAAUGGCGUCUUAUCAAACUCAUUUCCAUAGCUUUCUUCACAUUACUCUCUCUCUUCUUUGUUCUCUUUUACAACACCCUUUCCGGACGCCGGUGUUGUGGCUCCGUCCAUCAUUGCUGGAGGAGACGGUGGUUUGUUUGAUUCCGCCGCAGUGGAAACUCUAUGUUGUGUGGUCACUACGUUCUUUGAGAGGCUUCAUGAUUGAGUGAAGAAACAGAGUUAAACCUCAAUGGCUUUUUUUUGAAGUUGCGAGAGUUUGGAUUUUGAUUGUGGAAGUUGAAAUCAGAAAUGAAAAAAACAGUGGAGAAGUUGGAGGAGAGGGAGAAGUGAGUUUAAGGACACAUGGGGGUGAGGACUCCAGGUUUAUGAAGGAGGAAGAACAAAGGGAAAAAUGUUGAAGAUGGAAGUUGUUGAUGAUGAUGGCGUGUUGUUGUUCUUGUGGUAUUUUUAAUUUCUUUUAUUCUUUUAAUUUAUUUAAUACUUAAAUGAUUAUUUGGCUUUUACAAAAAAAAAAAUUAAUUAAAAAAUUAUCCAGUUGGCAUCUUUGUGGGUUAUGUGGCAUGACACAUAGGCUUGACUAAGUCAAAAUUGAGGUUUUGCAAAAGGGGGCAAACAUGAGGGGUCAUUUUUGCCAUUUUUUUUUAAUAUGGGGCCAAAAUUGCUACUUUUGCAAAAUUAGGGGGUAAAUAGUGCGUUUAAGCCUUUCUAAUAUUAAUAUUCUUUUUUUUUUUAAAACAUGACUAGACAAAAUCGCAGAUGUGUCUCGCAGUUGGUAAUUUUGAUGACAUGGCAAGCUUACUAGGCUUUUAAAAUAAUUUUUCAUUUAUUUUUAUUUUCAAUUGUUUUUUUAUUAAUUUAAAAAAUAAAAAAUAAUAUAUAGUUUUAGAAAAAAUAAAAAGUUUUAUUUAAAAAAAAAUAUAUUUUAUUUUCCAGAAGAUUUAAUUUUUUUAAAAUAAAAAUAAACUUAUCUAAUUUUCAAGAAUUUUAUCUUUUAGAAAAAAUAAAAAUUUUUUCGAAAAAAAAAUUAAUAUUUCUAGAAUAUUUUAAAAAAUUUACAAAAAUUAAAAUAUUAAAAUAUAUGUUUUUUUACUUAUCUAAUUUGUUACACUUUUUAAAUGAUAAAGAAAAAAUAGACAUAUAUAUUUCUAUCGUGUUUGUUAUAUUGGUUUUAAUAUUAAAAUUUAUUCUUAUUUAUUUGUUACUUGUUUUAUUUGUAUGGAAAAUUGAGGACAUUUGAAAAUGCAAAGUAAACAUUUAAAAUGCAAAGUACUAAUUUGAUCCUAAAAAAUCUGAAAUAUUGGUCAAAUUAAUACUUUUUCAAGACAAAUUUUUGGAACAUUUUAAUCUCCAUUUGAUCAACAUUUGAAAAUUUUGAAUAUUACAUUAGUAAUUUUGAUUAUUUGGGAAUAUUUUUCUUGUAGUUGUUGAGGACCAAUUUCAAUUUAGUCUAUAUUUUUGGAAGUACUAUUCGUUGUGUCUACAAUUGUAAGAAAAGAACAGGAAAUGAACAACAUUCUCAAGAAUAUCACAUGAAACAAGACUGAUGCAAUAGUUUUCCAAAAAUACCCUAAGCUAGUAUAUUAUUUGAAGGGAGCAAACAUGAGGGGUCAUUUUUGCCAUUUUUUUUAAUAGGGGGUCAAAAUUGCUACUUUUGCAAACUUAGGGGGUAAAUAGUGCGUUUAAGCCUUUCUAAUAUUAAUAUUCUUUUGUUUUAAAACAUGACUAGACAAAAUCGCAGAUGUGUCUCGCGGUUGGUAAUUUUGAUGACAUGACAUGCUUACUAGGCUUUUAAAAUUAUUUUUCAUUUAUUUUUAUUUUCAAUUGUUUUUUUUAUUAAUUUAAAAAAUAAACAAAAAUAUAUAGUUUUAGAAAAAAUAAAAAGUUUUUUUUCCAGAAUUUAUAUUCUUUAGAAAAAAUAAAAAGUUUUAUUUCAAAAAAUAUAUAUUUUAUUUUCCAGAAGAUUUAAUUUUUUUAAAAUAAAAAUAAACUUAUCUAAUUUUCAAGAAUUUUAUUUUUUAGAAAAAAUAAAAAGUUUUUCGAAAAAAUUAAUAUUUCUAGAAUAUUUUAAAAAAUUUACAAAAAUUAAAAUAUUAAAAUAUUUGUUUUUUUACUUAUCUAAUUUGUUACACUUUUUAAAUGAUAAAGAAAAAAUAGACAUAUAUAUUUCUAUCGUGUUUGUUAUAUUGAUUUUAAUAUUUAAAUUUAUUCUUAUUUAUUUGUUACUUGUUUUAUUUGUAUGGAAAAUUGAGGACAUUUGAAAAUGCAAAGUAAACAUUUAAAAUGCAAAUUGUACUAAUUUGAUCCUCAAAAAUCUGAAAUAUUGGUCAAAUUAAUACUUUUUCAAGACAAAUUUUUGGAACAUUUUAAUCUCCAUUUGAUCAACAUUUGAAAAUUUUGAAUAUUACAUUAGUAAUUUUGAUUAUUUGGGAAUAUUUUUCUUGUAGUUGUUGAGGACCAAUGUUUUUUCAAACGUGUACAUCCAAACUCAUGAUGUAUGAUAGGAAAAGUUGUUCCCAUGAAGCAAAGCACAAGAUAUCAAGAUUUUGUUCUCUAAUCAUACAGAUUAAGAAGCAGAAGUGUUGAUACUAAAGAGACCUACUUUAAACAAUAGCAUACUAACUCCAUCCCUAAUUAAUUAUAAGACCCUUUUAAAAAAAUAACGGAAAUUAAGAUAGUGAAUAUUUGUAUUAAAUAUGUUUAUAAUUAUUAUUAUAUUUACAAUUUUAUCCUUUAAGAGAGAGAUCGUUUAUGUUUUCAACAUGUUAUUUAUUGCUGAUUGAAGAAAAAGAUGUAUAAUAAAUAGGGGUGUGUAUGUAAAGAAAUAAUUAAUGUAGUUGGAAAUAGCAAAAGAGUCUUAUAAAAAGGGACAAAAAAAAUUCUUAAAAUGAUUUUCUAAUUAGAGACGGAGGUAAUAUUAUUUAUCAUUGAAAGGGACCUACCUUACCUUAAAAAUCAAUAGUUCCUACACUUCCACAUAUAUGCACAUUUUGCUUUCUAAGAAGCAUCAAAACUACUAUCUCAUGCAUAGUUUUGAAAACCGGAUCUGCGUCAACCUGUGUGACUAGGCCAAACUCGGCGGUUUGUUGGACAAAUUUAAUGCUGAAGCAGGACUUUAAUUAAAUGGUUUGUAUUAAAAAAUGGCAAAGUAGGGUGUUGAACUGAGGACAAAAACCUGCAUUGCUCUACCUUAGUCAUCUACGUUGUUAUUCCUGUGUGAUAUUGUGUGCUCAAUUCUCUCUAAAAAAAACAACUUGUUGUGCUAAAAAAUAAUUUGUCAGCAAAAUGGACAAUACUAUCAAAAUAUAACUAUACAAUACAAAAUAUUUUUUUAUAAGAUAGAAGAAAUUAAUAUAAACAUUUUACUUGAUUAAACCUAUUUUUGUUAGCUUUAUUCAAAAAAUUCUAUUUGUUGUAGCACAUUUGUUUUUAUUUUUGUCGUAGAUGCAAAAUGAAAUAUUUUUUAAUGUUUAUUUAAAUAUGUACUAUAUCUCAUAAAGAAUAUAUGAAGCUAUUCAAAGGCACCUAUAUCAAGAUGUUUCUAUUUAUAUUGCUAAAAAUAUGCAUUUAUUUAUGUUAAAAAAAUAAUUUUUUUUAAAGAUCAAGGUCACUAUUUGUUAAAAAAAAUUAAAAUGGAGAUAACAUUAAGUCGGUUCAGUAUAAUUUAAUAUAAUGAUUUUUUUUACGUAGAUCGAGUCAUAUAACCGAGUCAUUCGGUUCAAUCCGAUUCAGUCGUGCGGUUCAACCAAUGACACAGUGGUUCAACAAUUGAACCAGUGACCUAGUACCGAGUCGAUCACCGGUCCGAUUUUUAAAACUAUGAUCUCAUGCACAUAUGUACGCGUUUUCUUACUUUAUUAAUGUGUAGUUUUCUAUCUUCUCAUUCAAAUUUAUGAUAUACUUUCUACUUUUGAUCACUGCAUCACCUUCGUGAGCUAGGGUGGACCACGGCCCACCCGGCAAAAUUAAAAAAUUAACGAUUAUAGGUCUACUUUGCAAGAUUUUAUACAAUUAAUUUUGUGUCGGUGACAGGUUUCGGGUAAUCCAAAUUUCCGCAAAGUGGUGUAGUCGCCCACCCGCAAAAUUUAAAUUAUUCAAUUAUAGGUCUAUUUUGCGAUCUUUAAACAAUUUUUCAACGCUUAUAGUUUUAUGUGAUUUCAAAAGUGGCAUACGUGAUUUUUGUGAUGCUUAUACUUAACAUAUUGUCAUGUCAACUGAAAAUUCUCUCAAUUAACAGUCGUAAUGUACAAAAAAAAAAAAAAUCAUAAUUUAUAGUAGUUGUUAAAUACGUAAUUAUUUAAAUAUCCACCCUAACUUUUUAGUCAAACUCCGUCAUUUCAACUUGCGUACUUAAUGUUGAUUACAACUUUAAUUUGUGUUUAUAUAUUAUAAUUAAUUUUAGUGGCCCACCAAGUUUUUUUUUUUGGCUCCGCCACUAUUGUUAUGCAUCCUCACGACCCUAGUUUUGCGGUAACAUCACUUUCUGUCUCAAACUUAUUGUAUCGAAUUCACAACUUACAUGCAUGUUCGAGGUGAGACUGACUAUAACAAACCAAAACAAAAAAAUCCAAUUGAUUCUCGAUAAUUUCGAUGUGGUGAUACUUUACGGUGAAACCGUGCUCUCGGAAGCUGAGGUGCAACAACCUAUAGUUUUGGUGAAGAUGAGCAACAAGAUAUGACGGUUGACUUGGAAACGAUGAAUUCAGCGAAGUUCGUGCAUAAGGUGGUGCAAGAGAAUCUAGUUGACGAAUGGAACAAAGGGGUGGUGAAUUUUGAUGUGAAGAUGGUUGUUAGAGUUGGAUUUGAAGCUGGAAUAUGGCCAAGCAAGGAAAAGACAUUGUGUGUUUCUUGUGGGGACUUGGAUGUGGAAUUCUAUUCUACAAAAGACACUGGAAAACUAUUGGGUAUUGGGAAGAACUGCAACGUAGUUGAAGCCAAACCAUAGUUAGCUAUUGAAGAUUGAUUAAUUAUAAGUGGAAUAUUAGCAUAAUCUAACGCUCUUUUUAGUUUUUACACACCACUACUCUUUAUCUUAUUGAAUAAAAUGUACGUGAAAUUGUUGGAAAUCAAGCGAGUGGUUAUAUUCCACCUCGACUUGAAAUGGAGAAAAUGUCGGAUAUAUUAGAUAGACGGUCCGUACACCUAGUGUCUUGAGGUUUUUGGGAAAUAUGUGGUGUUAAGGUCUUGUACCAGUCCUGGACGUUUAGUUAAUUGCCGCUUCUAAGACUCUGCAACAAAGAUGUUGUGAAUUUGAUGAAAAAACCACACCAAUAACAACUUGAUGUGUGGAGCAAGGCAUAAUCAAGCAACCAAAACAAAGUGUAUGAAAGUUAUAAAUACAAGCCAAUAGUAGAAAACAACGGCGAGAAGAACACAAAGAAGAAGAAGAACACAAAGAAAUUUGUUGACCCAGUUCGGUCCAAUCUGACCUAGUCUGGGGGAGAGAGCAGUCCUCCAAUCCACUAUAUGAUGAGUUUCGUUACAAAGAGAAAUCAAUGGGUUACAAGAAUAAGUCUCCCACCUAAUUCUACCCAAAGUCGCAAUCUCUUCCCGUAACCAAGAGACUCAACCCUAAUAGUGUUUCCCAAGGUGAAUCAACUCACAAACCCUAGUGUUUGUUCCGAAGAGACAAACUCUAUACAAACCCUAGUUUUGUUGUUGCCUUUCUAAACCCUUGUUUCAGCCCCCUCUAUCUCUCUCUCUCAAAGUUUAGCCUAAUACAAGGUCUAUAUUUAUAGUAAAAGUAUAACUCAUAAAUUUGGAACAAAUACCACACUGAAGAUACGUUUUUUUUUNNNNNNNNNNNNNNNNNNNNNNNNNNNNNNNNNNNNNNNNNNNNNNNNNNNNNNNNNNNNNNNNNNNNNNNNNNNNNNNNNNNNNNNNNNNNNNNNNNNNNNNNNNNNNNNNNNNNNNNNNNNNNNNNNNNNNNNNNNNNNNNNNNNNNNNNNNNNNNNNNNNNNNNNNNNNNNNNNNNNNNNNNNNNNNNNNNNNNNNNNNNNNNNNNNNNNNNNNNNNNNNNNNNNNNNNNNNNNNNNNNNNNNNNNNNNNNNNNNNNNNNNNNNNNNNNNNNNNNNNNNNNNNNNNNNNNNNNNNNNNNNNNNNNNNNNNNNNNNNNNNNNNNNNNNNNNNNNNNNNNNNNNNNNNNNNNNNNNNNNNNNNNNNNNNNNNNNNNNNNNNNNNNNNNNNNNNNNNNNNNNNNNNNNNNNNNNNNNNNNNNNNNNNNNNNNNNNNNNNNNNNNNNNNNNNNNNNNNNNNNNNNNNNNNNNNNNNNNNNNNNNNNNNNNNNNNNNNNNNNNNNNNNNNNNNNNNNNNNNNNNNNNNNNNNNNNNNNNNNNNNNNNNNNNNNNNNNNNNNNNNNNNNNNNNNNNNNNNNNNNNNNNNNNNNNNNNNNNNNNNNNNNNNNNNNNNNNNNNNNNNNNNNNNNNNNNNNNNNNNNNNNNNNNNNNNNNNNNNNNNNNNNNNNNNNNNNNNNNNNNNNNNNNNNNNNNNNNNNNNNNNNNNNNNNNNNNNNNNNNNNNNNNNNNNNNNNNNNNNNNNNNNNNNNNNNNNNNNNNNNNNNNNNNNNNNNNNNNNNNNNNNNNNNNNNNNNNNNNNNNNNNNNNNNNNNNNNNNNNNNNNNNNNNNNNNNNNNNNNNNNNNNNNNNNNNNNNNNNNNNNNNNNNNNNNNNNNNNNNNNNNNNNNNNNNNNNNNNNNNNNNNNNNNNNNNNNNNNNNNNNNNNNNNNNNNNNNNNNNNNNNNNNNNNNNNNNNNNNNNNNNNNNNNNNNNNNNNNNNNNNNNNNNNNNNNNNNNNNNNNNNNNNNNNNNNNNNNNNNNNNNNNNNNNNNNNNNNNNNNNNNNNNNNNNNNNNNNNNNNNNNNNNNNNNNNNNNNNNNNNNNNNNNNNNNNNNNNNNNNNNNNNNNNNNNNNNNNNNNNNNNNNNNNNNNNNNNNNNNNNNNNNNNNNNNNNNNNNNNNNNNNNNNNNNNNNNNNNNNNNNNNNNNNNNNNNNNNNNNNNNNNNNNNNNNNNNNNNNNNNNNNNNNNNNNNNNNNNNNNNNNNNNNNNNNNNNNNNNNNNNNNNNNNNNNNNNNNNNNNNNNNNNNNNNNNNNNNNNNNNNNNNNNNNNNNNNNNNNNNNNNNNNNNNNNNNNNNNNNNNNNNNNNNNNNNNNNNNNNNNNNNNNNNNNNNNNNNNNNNNNNNNNNNNNNNNNNNNNNNNNNNNNNNNNNNNNNNNNNNNNNNNNNNNNNNNNNNNNNNNNNNNNNNNNNNNNNNNNNNNNNNNNNNNNNNNNNNNNNNNNNNNNNNNNNNNNNNNNNNNNNNNNNNNNNNNNNNNNNNNNNNNNNNNNNNNNNNNNNNNNNNNNNNNNNNNNNNNNNNNNNNNNNNNNNNNNNNNNNNNNNNNNNNNNNNNNNNNNNNNNNNNNNNNNNNNNNNNNNNNNNNNNNNNNNNNNNNNNNNNNNNNNNNNNNNNNNNNCGAAGAAGAUAAAGAAAGUGAACCGGUGAAGACACCGAUUUAUUUUCGGUUCCCAAGCAAAAUCAACAAAGCAGAGCCAAGAAUCAAGUUUUUCCGAAGAAUCUCGUAAAAUCUCCGAUUAAAAAACUCAGGUAAAACUCAAACUUCAACUUUCUUUCUCAAGAACAGUAACAAAGAAGAAACUAUGUAGAUCUGUAGGAGUUUGAACGGUUUCAUUCAAAAAGUUAAAAAAACCUAAAAAUAAUUUUCAAAACCGUAUGAAAAUUCUAGAUCUACGUUGUUUCAAGCCUUGUUUGUGAAAAUCAGUGUUAGAUUCGUGCUUAGGGUUUAAAGGCAAGUAGAAAGACGUAAAAAUCUUGAAGUUCUGGUGAGGUUAGAGGUUGCCGGAAACUGGAGAUCUCACCGGAGAAGGUGAAGAUUCCGGCGGACCUAUGAAGGUUCUAGCCAGAUCUUCAUCUUCCCCGGCCGUUCAUCCAUGAAUCCGGCGGAGAAAGUUAGAGAGAGAUGAGAGAAGUGAGAAGUUAGAGAGAGAAAGAACAAAUGCAAAUGAAUAAACCGGUGCUCCCCUCCUUUUAUAGGUCAGUGAACCGGACCGGUCCAAGACAGGUCCAUUUCCCUUCAAUCCUGGCCGUUUGAUUUAGGGUUUGAUCCCCUAGAUCAAUCCUGUGGUUCUUGUGCGUCCGGACCCCUUAGGCUUGGGCUUGGGCUUGUUCCCUUUGGUUUUGCUGCGUUUUUGCUAUUUUCUUGCUAUUCACACCAUGCUUUCUUGCUGUUUGAACCACUGUUCGUUCUAAUUUUCUCGUAAAAAUUCCUAAAAAAUUUCUAUGUGUUCCUUGAUACAUUUUUGACUUUUUUUGUGAUGUUUCACAUGUUAUAAAAUUGAUAAAAAUAUAUGUGUUGCUUUCUUGAUUACUUUUCUUUCUUUAGUUGAAUUUCAUGCCAUUUCUCGUUUUUUUCGUUCGUGAUAUCUUAGUAUAUGGUGUGAAUGUUCGAUGUGAAAUUUCAUGAUGAGAAUGCCACUGUUUGUGUGAGUGUUUCGCUGUUUUCAACAUGAUUUGUUAAUUUCUUGCCUUGCAAGNAGAAAUCGUGACACGAUUUUGGCAUCGUGACACGAUUUCAAGUGGCCGUGAGCUAGUUUGCAGGACGCCAAAUCGUGGCACGAUCUUGGGAAAUCGUGACACGAUUCAGAAACUUGCUCGUUAAGUAUCACUGAUAAGGACUUGUCAACCUUGGGUCCGUUGAAGAUCGUGACACAAUCUAGGAAAAUCGUGGCACGAUUUCUUCAGGGGAAGACUAGUAUAUAUUGUGUUCUUGUGCUUUUUUGAAGUAAGACUUAAGAGAAGAACUUAAGAGAGCUUUUAGAGAGAACUUGGAUAGCAAAGGAGGGAACCAAUGGGUUGAGUGUCUUUGUUGAGAGUGUCUCUUGGGUUGGGAAAAACAUUGUUAUCACCUUGGGUUUUAGGAAUAUUUUAAAAAAAGUUAUGUAAUAGUUAUGUAAUAGUGAACCCGUAUUUUCAACCCACAUAUUUUCUAGAAUAUUUUAAAAAAUUUACAAAAAUUAAAAUAUUUGUUUUUUUACUUAACUAAUUUGUUACACUUUUUAACUGAUAAAGAGAAAAUAGACAUAUAUAUUUCUAUCGUGUUUGUUAUAUUGAUUUUAUUAUUUAAACUUAUUCUUAUUUAUUUGUUACGUGUUUUAUUUCUAUUGAAAAUUGAGGACAUUUUUGGAAAAAGAAAAAUUCAGCCUAAAAAUGCUGAAAGAGAUCAUUUUCUUUAGGGUAAAUACCAAUUUUCGUCCCUGUAAAAAAAACGAUUUAGAUUUUGUCCCUGUAAUUUCAUAUUGUUCCAAUUUUGGUCCCUCCUUUCAUCACGUCAGCAAAAUCUGCAUAAAUUACGUCCCUGUAAUUUCAGAUUCCUCCCUCUUUUGGUCCAUGUAAUUUCAAAUUCCUCAACUUUUGGUCCCUCAGUUUACGUUCAAUGUAUGUAGAUUCUGCUGACGUGGUGGAAUAAGGGACCAAAACUGGAAGAAUCUGAAAUUACAGAGACAAAAUCUAAAUCUUUUUUUUACAGGGACGACUAAAACCGAAACUCGCUAAUAAUACAGGUACGAAAAGAGGUAUUAACCCUGUUCUUUAUAUAUAGUAAAUAUGUGGGUUGAAAAUACGGGUUCACUAUUACAUAACUUUUAUGAGACAUAAAUGCGGGCUGAUUAUUAUGUCGACGGAUUCUUUAACGGUAAAAUUAUCUCUGGAAUUCUAUGGUACCACAUGCAUCUAGAAGAGUAUAAAACAUUACAUGUACUUAUUACUUGGUGAGUCGAGUCCUUACUUGGAUAUGUGAAUCGGUAUAUAUGUGCAUUGGUGAACUUUUGGUGAUUGUUGUGAAUACUUGCACAAGAUGAAUUAUAUGUAUGCUUGAUUGAGCUUGUAUAUUUGUUGAUUGAAUUUAUUAAUUGUGAAUUAUGAACUAUAUUUUCUCACAGGCAUCUCAGGUGUUGAAGCAUCCUUAAUUGUAUGGACAUUCUGUGCCUUGAAAUAGUUAACAUUGGUCAAAACUAGUCUUCAGCAAACAUCUGAACUAAUCUUAUUUAGCCCCUGAAAAUGCAAAGUACUAAUUUGAUCCUAAAAAAUCUGAAAUAUUGGUCAAAUUAAUACUUUUUCAAGACAAUUUUUUGGAACAUUUUACUCUCCAUUUGAUCAACACAUCUGAAAAUUUUGAAGAUUACAUUAGUAAUUUUGAUUAUUUGGGAAUAUUUUUCUUGUAGUUGUUGAGGACCAAUUUCAGUUUAGUCUAUAUUUUUGGAAGUGUACAUUCAGACUGCAUUACUUUGUCUGAAAGUGUAUUUUUGGAUGGUACUAAAUUUAUGUUUUUUCAAAUGUGUACAUCUAAACUCAUGAUGUAUGAUAGGAAAAGUUGUUCCCAUGAAGCAAAGCACAAGAUAUCAAGAUUUUGUUUUCUAAUCAUACAGAUUAAGAAGCAGAAGUUAACCAUCCUUUGUUGAUACUAAAGGGACCUACUUUAAAAAUAACAUAGUAUUUGUCAUUGAAAUGGACCUACCUUACCUUAAAAAUCAAUAGUUCCUACACUUCCACCACCAAGUUUUCAUAUAUGCACAUUUUGCUUUCUAGGAAGCAUCAAAACUACUAUCUCAUGCACAUAUGUACACGUUUUCUUACUUUAUUAUAAUGUGUGGUUUUCUCUCUCCUCAUUCAAAUUUAUGAUAUUUUCUACUUUUGAUCACUGCAUCACCUUUACCUUCACCUUCAUAUAACAAAUAACUAUACCAAUGCACUGCUUUUGAAAGAUAUAUAGUAACAACACUAGACCAAAAUUGAAUUGGUUACUAGCUACUAUAGCUAGCAUCAUAUCACUAAUCACUAAUAAGAUUAAGGCCAUACCUUAUUUCCAAAAUCCAAAAUAACGAACAUGGAGCACCCUUCUACUAGAAAUAUCCCAACAAGAAGAUCGGACGCCGGAAUCCAGUUUUGUCCGGCGUCUGACCUUGACGGUUGUAUCCAUUUUUGUCAUUUUCAUGGCUAUCAUUGGCAUAGCUUGUUUGUUAUGAAGUGGCGGAGCCCUUUAUGGACUAGGGUGGACCACAGCCCAUCCGAAAAAAUUUAAAAAUUAACGAUUAUAGGUCUACUUUGCGAGAUUUUAUACAAUUAAUUUUGUGUCGGUGCACUACUAAAAAAACUAAAUUUAGUAAGGAAAAACGUAAAAUCCCUCUCUAAUUCCGUCACUAAAUUUUGAGACCAAGGAAUUUGUGAGGAAUUUUAUUUUUUCCGUCACUUAUUUCCCUCGCUAAUAUUGCUUUUUCUAGUAGUGGUGACAGGUUUCGGUUAAUCUAAAUUUCCACAAAGUAGUGUAGUCGUCCACCCGCAAAAUUUAAAUUAUUCAAUUAUAAGUCUAUUUUGCGAUCUUUAAACAAUUUUUCAACGUUUAUAGUUUUAUGUGAUUUCAAAAGUGGCAUACGUGAUUUUUGUGAUACUUAUACUUAGCAUAUUGUCAUGUCAACUGAAAAUUCUCUCAAAUAACAGUCAUAAUGUACAAAAAAAAUCAUAAUUUAUAAUAGUUGUUAAAUACGUAAUUAUUUAAGUAUCCACCCUAACUUUUUAGUCAAACUCCGUCAUUUCAACUCGCGUACUUAAUGUUGAUUACAACUUUAAUUUGUGUUUAUAUAUUAUAAUUAAUUUUAAUGCCCCACCAAGUUUUUUUUUUUCUGGCUCCUCCACUGUUGUUAUGCAUCCUCCCGACCCUAGUUUUGCGGUAACAUCACUUUCUAUCUCAAACUUCAUUGUAUCGAAUUCACAGCUUACAUGCAUGUUCGAGGUGAGACUGACCAUAACAAACCAAAACAAGAAAAAUCCAAUUGAUUCUCAAUAAUUUCGACGUCGUGAUACUUUACGGUGAAACCGUGCUCUCAGAAGCUGAGGUGCAACAACCUAUACUUUUGGUGAAUAUUAGCAUAAUCUAACGCCCUUUUUAGUUUUUACACGCCAGUACUCUUUAUCUUAUUGAAUAAAAUGUAUGUGAGAUUGUUGGAAAUCAAGUGAGUACUUAAGUCCCACAUCGACUACAAAAUGAUGAAAAUGUUGGAUAUACUAAAUAGACGGUCCACACACUUAAUGUCUUAAGGUUUUUGUUAAAUAUAUGGUGUUAAGGUCUCGUAGGAGUCCUAUACGUUUCGCUAAUUGUAGCUUCUUGGAGUCCGCAACAAAGAUCCUUCAAAUCAUAUAGGUUUUACUUUUUCUAUGAUUGAAUUAAUAUAAAAUUUUAAAUUAAUAUUUAAGAGCGUGUAGAUAUCAUGUUUUUUUUUUAUAUGAAGUCAUUUUUGGUGGUGUGUUAGAAUAUAAUGUGUUGGCUAGGGAGCAUGUGCUAAUACAAUAUUCUUGCAUCGCGCAAUGCAUUUGUAAUUGGACACAGUUGUCCUAUAAACUACUUUUUGUUGGAACUUGUGUUGGGGGUCUGCUGUAAUAACUUGGCCAAGAAGAUGAUUAAGAUGAACUUGAUGAAGUGUGUACAUAAAUUCCAAAGAUUGUUGUAUAUCUUGAUUGUUGGGAAGAUGCUGCUGCACUUGAAACCUGAAAAGUUUAAUGGUAAUGCAUGUAAAACUCAAAGCGCAUGGGGUUGCCACACUAACCUUUAGGUUCGAUUCGCCCCCACCAAUAACUAUAUAUUGGAUGCAAUAAAGAAUGACCGGCGAAUCCCCUUCAGGAUACUAAGAGUUCUUUGACGUGUAUUGCACAACCACACACCAAGCGUAUCUUCUAAUAGUAUUUUACAGAUUUAUGGUUCCAGCAAUUCACUCUUGUAUUAGAGAAUUGAUGGAUGAUUUAGAGUAAGAGAAUGGGGGAGAAUUAUGUUGUUAAUGCAACAAAAUUCUGUUUUCUAUUGUCUUGUUGUGUGUCCAAAUUAAUGUCCAAAUGCCAAGACAAUACACUUGUUGUGUGUCCAGAAUUAUGUUUUCUAUUAACACCCAUUUGACUUGAAUCAAUGAUAUGGUUCAUUAAGCUCUCUUUUACCAAAAGUUAUGAUCAUAUACACUUGAAUCAAUGUUAUGGUUCAUUAAGCACUAUUUGGCCAAAGGUUAUAACCAUAUACACUUGAAUCAAUGUCAUGGUUCAUUAUCUAUCACUAAAUAAUAAUGUACCAAUGUAUAUGAAUGGUUCCCAUGAAGAGUUACAACUCUUGGUGAAGAGUUACAGUUUUGGUUCUAAACUGAUUCCAUUAUUUUGGAAAUCACCGACACUUUUGAGACUGAGAUACAAACCUAUUUAAUAUCGUAUAAGAUUUUGUAUGACAUGUGAGAACUAGACCCAUAUUCAUUGUUGCUUUUAUCCCCCACUCAACUAACCAACAAAUUUCUGUUAUGCCGUUAAACUAUAUCUGAAACAUCAUUGUAACAGAAAACUAGUUAAGUGGUUUAUAACUGUAAUAAUCCCAGUAACUGUUAUAAACAUAAAUUAAAAUUAAAAUUUCAAUUUAAAUUUCGGAAAAAAAACUGAAUUUCUUUUUUUCAUUUCAGCAAAACCUAAUGCUUAUAUAAAAGGCAUUAUUCACUUCACAUUAUCUUCAUACUCAGUUGUUUAAUUUUGAAACAACUUCUUUCAAUUCUGUUAUAUCUUCUCUUUUGCACAUUCUCACAAAAAAUCUUUCAACCAUGAAAAACAACACAGAACAAUCUCUUUACACCAUUGAUCUUGAUGAUUCAUCUUUGAAUCAAGCUUAUGCAACAGCAACUGCACUCUUUGCAAUUCUUUGGUGAAUGGAUGAUCUUGAUUCUCGCAUGUUCGAUCGCAUUGUUCUUCAUUCCUCUAACUCCUUCUUUCACACUCCAUUCAACAACUUCAACUGUUCUUAAUGUCACCGAUGGAAAAACCUUCACAGCCAACUUAGGUGUCGAGUUUCUUGCGGAACACUCCAACACUAUUGGAAGCACAAUUCACUAUGACUAUCUUCAUCUAUCACUCUUUCACCAUCAAGAAAACCUCUCAACUUUCUCUAUUUCGAAGCCUUUUUACAACAAACAUGUGGUUGCUUCAAUUCAAGAAGCAAAGUUUCGUAACGUGUCUAUGAUGAUCGAUGGAUGGAAAGUUCAUGGUAUUGGAGAGGCUUGCGGGUUGUUGUAUUUGGAUUUACGAUUUCGUGCUAGUGCGAGAUACAUUCAACCAAUGUGGCCGGUUAUGAAAGACAAGCUUGUAGAUAAUUGUGGAGAAAUGAAAGUUGAAAUGUGUGAUUCAGGUUCAAGCGUCGUUGUUAACCCGUUUCUUGCGUCAUGCGAUGUUUAUAAUGAUUUGGUGACUAACGUUAGGAUUGCGUUGUUUGGAAUGUUGAUCUUUCUUCUUGUGAUUGCUGUGGCUGUUCCUCUUAUUGUUGAGCAUUUCUUUUGCUCUGCCAAUUUUUCUUGAGUCUCAUAGUUUUUUCUUCUUCUAUAGGAAUUGUAAAUAUGGUUUCUUUCAUUCUAGAUGGAUUUCAAUUCCAUGUGUUAGUUGUGUUGUAGAGUUUCAGUUUUUUUCUUUCUUUCUGAAUCAUGAAAGUGUAAUAGAGAUAAACAAUAGUGUAAUAAUAAUAUGCAACACUUUGGAUGAUUGAAAGUUUGUUAACCAUGUUUUUUUGGAUAGCAAUUUUGAUGAUAAUAUUUUUGAUAACCUUUACUCUUCUUUUUUGGAAUAAAAAAAUUAUUUAUUAAAUGACACUAACGGUCAUUUUACGAUCAUUACUUGAAUGUAUUUGAACUCCGCACUUAAGGUUAAGAGCUUGUUGACCAUUUUCUGUUGUGAGUCCUGAAAUUAUGAAUGUUUUAACAUCAUCUGUCGAUAUGAAUAUAUGUACAUACUCUUGUAUUCUUAAAAGCAAUUUAAUCAUACAUACAUGACUAGUACAUUGUUUUAAAAAACUAUACCAAGAUGGAUAAAAAAGAGACUUGCUAUUAAUUACAAACCCGAACUUUGACGAAACACAAGAAUACUCCCGUUUCUUUGUUCGAUAAAUAGCUUUUCUGCCAGAUGUGGAAAACAGAACUUCUGUCUCAGAAACUUACAAACUCUGAUAUUCAUCUGAUUUUCUGUUUCUAUAAGGAUUGGAGAAUAUCACAUCCUGCUCUAUGCUGCUUUUCUUCUUGAACACAGUGGAUUCCAAUUUUUCUACUAAGAUUGAAUUUCUAAAAACUCUCCAAGUGAGCUGCAGUACAACUGAGGUGCAAAGCAUAUCAAUACUCACUGCCCGUUCGAACAACCAACAGAAUCUGCAGUGCGAGCGACCUUUAGACUUGUCGCAUGAUGUCUAAAGAUGGUUUCCUGAGAAUGCUUAGUUUUGGUUAGAGAAAAGUUGUGUAAAUUACCGACAAAUGUUCAAUUUUAUGAGAGAGAUUGUUGUUAAAAAGUGGGGAUAGGGAGAUAUAAGGUAGAUAUUAGAAACACAACGUCCUCAUGUUUAUUUCAACUCUUGAAAUUUUCAUACACACCAUAAUGCAGAAAACAAACAUACAUUGUAACAUAUUACAGUUCUAAACCAAAACUAAAACUUUUAUGUUAUAGCAAUUCAGUUCUCUUCUUGAUGUAUAAUCCACUCAUGACAACCUUAACACAAUCAUUGGAAGUACAAAACCAAAACUGACUUAUGAAACGAAAUUCUCCACUUCCAUUUUCAAGAUAAAAACAAAAUAGAAAAAAAGAUUCUUUAUACCAUCAAGUUCAUAUAAAUGUUUCCACAACAGAUUUUUUUGCAAGUUUUAAUCUUUCAAACUAGCUAUUGAACUAUGAUAUAAGAUUAAAACAACCAAUGAUAAAAUUAAGGUUCUUUCUAACAUAUUUAUAAAAAUAUUACUAUGGAAUGACAACCAACAUUUUUAUUCAAAAGAUCUUUCAUAGAGAUUAUGAUUAAAACCAUUUUUGCUUUCAAAGUAUAAGGAUCUUACUUGUAACAAUAUUCAUCUAGGAUCCGGCACAAUUUAUUAGACGUUGUGUGAAAGUGGCAAACGUCGACUGCACCUUUUAGAGAUGGAUUCCCAUACUUUCUUCAGACCUGGUUUCUUCUGAUGUCUCUGAAGCAUCCUUAUGAAAUAGUUGAACAAAAAUUCAAGUUAUAAUAGAUGUGAUAAGUAACACGAUAUACAGUUAUGCUGCAUUUAGCUCACUGUAAAUGUCCUAUGUGCUUAUAACAUAGUCGAAUUUUUAUCAGCGUUGUUUCAUUGCCGAUCAUAUGACAUAGGGAUAGAUACAUGAUUAAGUGCAUUAAGAUAUAAUACAUGUCACUUCCUAGCAGAAACCCCUGUGAAAAGUAAUUCAACAAUUCCAAUCUGAAUCAUAAUUAAUGAGAUUAAUAAAAAUUUAACUACAUCCAAUAAUAUUCAAAAACUUUUUCAUUAACCAAUAAAUAGUGUUUAUGCUAUUAACUUUUUCACUCAAACGAUGCAUUCAAUCCACAUAGCACAAUAGGUAAAUAAAUAGAAGGGGAGAACAUGCCUAGAUUCUCUUAAUCUUUAUAAGCAUAAAGUGGCUAAAAUUUUCAAUAAGAUGGUCUACCUAUUGAACUUUAAGUGGUUGCAAACUCUGAGAACCUUUAUUUCGACAUUUUGAACAAAACAAAAUUGGUAAAAGUUAUGUGUAACAAUGUUCAGUUAUAAUUUCUAAAAUGUCCAUCAAUCAAGCUGGAUAAAAAACAUCCUUCCUAUGAAAUACCGACAAAGACACGGACACCAGACUCGACACUGAUUUGUCAACACUAAUGGUAAUUUGAGAAAAUCACAUAUGUCGGUAUUGGAUGCCUUCGAUCUGAAGUGUGUGUCUACAAAGCAUUAUCGACAGAAUCUUAUAUCAUGUCUCAUCAUUUGAAAAACUCUUCUAGGUAGAAGCAAUUAAUUGAUUUAUUAAGAUAAUAAUGAUAAUGAUGUACCUGGACCAAGGAAUAUAUCUAGCCAUGGUGUUCCUUUUCUAUUGUUUCAGUAAGCACCAAGUUCCGCAUGCCUGGCAAUAAAACUAGAUGUUGCUGCUGCAAAAUUUCUGUCUCUGAAACUCCCACUUCCACAAAUCUAUGCUUUUUCAGCGUAGGAUGAAAUUGUGAUAAUGAAGCAUUGAGAUAUUCAUCUAAUUUUCUCUUUCUACUAUAAGGAUUGGUGAAUAUCACAUCCUCAUUCGUGUUGUUUUUCUCCUUCAACACGUGGAUUCCCAUUUCUGUACUUCUUAACCCUUUGUAAUAAUGAAGCUUAAACUCCACAUAGAUCCAUUCAUUUUUUAAAUGUGCUUUGUCCAUUUCAGACUCCAAAUUGAUCCCGUGAAAUAUUUUACAGAGUUCAACAUUUUCUUCCAAAUUCAUUUCAAACAAAUAUGUAUGUCCCGGAUAAGGCAGACCAUAAUUAGAUUCAAAUUCUGGAGAUGUACACAGUCAUAACCAUUGACAAACAAAUUAACUUUGUGAACAAAUCCAACAUCCGGAAGAAUAAUAAUAAAAGUUAUAGAAGGGAUCUUUUUACAGAACCAGAAAGAAAUUGAAUGACCCCUGCUUUGGUGCUCGAACCAAUCUGGAAUCCUAAUCCUCUCUGUUCCGUUUGGGAAAGAAAGUGUGGUGCACCCAGCCUCAUGUAAUUGCUGUUAGUUUAGCAUAAGAUAUAUAUUACACAUUGUUGAUUAUAUGUGAAAUACUACAUAUCAAAUACUAUUGCAAGAAAAAACAACAACAAACCUGACUCAAUAACAUUCUUCUACUUGAGGAACUCAAUGAUUUACAUUCUAAUGCUUCAAGAUAUUUGAGAUUCGGUGGAAACCCUCUAAUUUCCUCAAGAUGCUUGCUUAAAUUCAAUAUGAGGGUCUCCAUAAGGUGACAUUCAUUAAGGCACUCAGGAAGAAUUUUGAAAUAGCCAAAGGAUAAGUCUAGAAAUUUCACAUUAACACACGACUUGAGAACUAUUUGGAGACAUUCAUAUUGGAGAUAUUUAGGAUUGAAAUCAAGAGCUUCCACAUUUGAAAACAUUAUAGAAUACAUUUUCUCAUUAUGUUUUGGGAACCUGAGCAUUUUACAUCCCCAUAGUGAUAAGCUGAGAUUUUGAAAUGAAAAUGGCAAUUCUCUUGUGGAAGUUAUACACAUUCCAAUCGCUUUUGUAUUUGUCAUCUUACAUAAUAGUUCUGGAAAACUCUUGAGUCUCUCACAAAAAGAGAGGUCCAAUUCCUCAAGAGAGGGCAGCCAUAAGGGUGGAAAACUCUCAAGCUUGAUGCAUCCAGAUGCAUUUAAGAUUUCAAGUUUAUUUAGGUUCCCAAUCGAAUCGUGAACUGCAAUUAAAUUAUCACAAAAUCGAAACGAGAAUUUUUCUAAAUUUGGAAGACCUGAGACAUUGGGUAUAUGGGUUAAAUAUUGACACUUGUCCAAUGUCAAGACUUUCAUAUGCUCAAACCUCUGCAUAAACACAAAGAAGAAACAAACAAAUAAAUUAAAAAUAAAACACUAUACUCUCAUAGUGAUAUUAUUUUCUUGACAUAAACAAAAUCAUUGUGAAUUUAUAAAUAUAUACAAUUAGAAAAUGAAAUUAUUUCACUUGCCUUGCUGCAAAUAAUAGAUGAUAGAGACACUGAGGAACAUCGAUUCAAUUUCAAUACUCUCAAACUGCUUGGAAGAUACUUGGGAUCUUUAGAAAAAGAGACAUUUUUAAUAAUAAGUGUUUUGAGAUUUGUCAUCUUCUUGAAGGCCUUUCCAUUCCAGUCUAUUACGGGAUCCGUUGAGCGAGAAUUCAGAUAUAUCAUCUCAAUUUUACUUGUUCCCUUUUAACAGAAAAAAAUAAAACUGAAUCAACCACAAUACAAAUAAAAUAUUGAGAACAUGUAAAUGUAAUUAAGGGUAAAAUAAAUAUUUGUUCAUAGAUAUCAAUCUUACUUUGUUUUCCAGUAAAAUAUGAACUAUGUCAUCACGACACCACAACCGACUACGUUUUUCAGGCUCUUUAGGUGAUUCUUUACGAAUGAUUUCUUUACCCAUGACCUCUAGCAAGUCAUGUAAUGUCACUUCAGACAAGUGGUAGCACCACCCACUAAUUUUUAUGAGAGACUUAUCAACCAACCCUCCAAUGUGGCUCUUUAUGCAAUAAUCAUAAUGUUGUUGAAGUAUCUCUUCGACUUCUGCCAAUCUACAUCCUUUGAAGAAACAAGCAAUAUCCAAAAAGACACUUUGUUGUUCUUCGCCCAAAGCAUCAAAGCUUACUUUAAGUAUCUUUUGGAUAUCUUCAUCUGGAAUUCUUUCAUACAUAUCUAAUGUAGACUCACAUUCUGCAAUACUCUUUCCAAACAAGUUGGAACCCACUACUUCUAUAGCUAAUGGAAGGCCAGAAGCAUACGCAACUGCUCGGUUUAAAAUCUCUUCAUAACUUGAAGGAACUUUGUAACUUUUAAAAGCCAUCCACCUCAACAAUUCAAGAGCAUUUUCCGUAGACAUCCCUUUUACUUCAUGCAUAAUUUCUACCUCAUGAUUGGUUAGUAAUUGUUUGUUACGAGUGGUAAUGAUAACUCUGCUUCCAGAGCCGAACCAAUCAGGUCCUCCAGCCAAAGCAUGCAGUUGUUUCAAAUUGUCAACAUCAUCGAGAAUCAAAAGAAUCUUCUUUGUAUGUAGCCUUUUCUUUAUAUAAGGAAUUCUCUCACUAACACCUCCUAAGUUAAUUUUCAGUGAAAGUGUUUUUAAAAGGAGUUCCUCCUGGAGAUGUUUCAAUUGAUUUGAAGCUGAAUUCUCUCUCACGUUUUCAAGAAAACAUGAGCAUUCAAAUUGAUCAGCAAUAAAAUUAUAAAUUCCUUUUGCAAGUGUUGAUUUUCCCAUGCCUCCAAUACCAUAAAGUCCUAUCAUGCGGACUCCACCAUUAGAUCCUUUAUCAAGAAGCGAUUUCACUUGUUGUACUCGAGACUGCAACCCAACAGGGUAAGUGGCAACAUGUAAGGGCUGACGACUGAUCUUGUUGUUGACAUAUUUGACUAUCUUUCCAAUAAACUUGUAUUCAUAUCUAUUCAUGUCCAAUAAGAUAAGUCAGUAUGUAACAACAUCACAGUCACAUCCAUUUACUCAUAAUAUAUCAUACAUUUCUAACUAUUUUGACUUAUAAAUAACUAAUACUUGUUUAAAAAUGUAAAUAAAAAGGUGUUUCCAAUUUAGGCUUUAAGAUGGUAUUACUGAGGUUUAAAAUUUAAAUAAAUAAAAUGCAAAAAGGAAAACAAGAAUUAAGUAAAGAGGAGUACCCAGGACUAAAAUGGUAGCCGGACAAGUUAGCAGCUUCGGUCAGAGCCAACUUCCAUUGAUGCAACCGCUCCAUGUUUUUCUUGUUAUUUUGGAAACUCAUUUUGUGCUUAGUGAGAUGUUCACCAUAACUCCCACUUUGGUGUCGUAUGUGACUAGGAUCCACGCCAUAGAAAACAGGCAAAACAAGACGACCCUUUGUCUUGUAGCAGUGCAUGAUGUGGACAAGUUCGUUCAAACAAAAUGAAGAAGAGGCAUAGUUGAUAGAAAACACAGGAAUGAAGAUCCUAGACUCUUCAAUGGCAUUGUCGAGUGAUGGUUUGAUUUCAUCCCCUCUUUGCAGGUCACGGUCAUCAAUGAAGGUGUGGAUUCCCUUGUCAGUAAGAGCCUUGUAGAGAUGACCAGUAAAACCGUUACGAGUGUCACUGCCCCUGAAGCUGAGGAACACUUGGUAAGUGAAUCGAUAGGAAAAUGAAGAGGAUGAGGAAGGUGAUUGCAUAGCCAUGAGAAUUGAGAAUGCAGAAUAUGAGUUAAGUUUUUGUGGUCUGAAAUGUGGAGUCUUCGGUAUGAGUUUGUGGUGUAUAUAACAAGGACAAAACUUAUGACAAAAAUGGUCUGUUAAACUUCCUGACCACUUCCUAUAGCCGUGUGGACCAAUCACACAUAUUCUGACCGAUGAUGUAAGCAAGUUCUUUAAUUAAUCCUCUGGUCAAUGGUCUAACUUCUUGGAUGUUGCCAUUGUUCAUAAUCUUGUUUUCUUCUUGCUGUCUUUCUUCAUUUUUUCGCGUCAUAUGCCAAGGAUUUUCUUUACAAGUUUUUUGUGCAACCAAUAUUGCAUUAAACUAGCACUAGUACAAGGACCCCCAUUAUACUCUAGUGCUAAUAUAAUCAACCUUGCAAUUAUGUAAGCACUCGUUGCAUUUUUCACAUUUCUUAAUAUUACUAAAUUGUUCUUUGUUUGUUUGGAUUUAAUUUAACUUAUGUGUCCAAAUAAAACUAUAUGCGUCAAAAACAAAAAUAAUAGUUCCGGUACUUAUUACACUAUUCUUUGGUUUUUAAUUAAUUUAUUUUAGUUUUUUCCGAAAGUUGAACAGCAAUCACAUUGAAAAAGACAUGAAUACGAGGUAUAUCUUUUUUGGAGGGUACAAAAAAUCCUAAGAAAAGUUGAAUACCGGGUAUAUGUGAUUCUUUUGUAAACUAUGUUUUCUUAUAAUUAAUAACUUUAAAAAGAAUCAGCAUUAGGUCCAAGGUUUGAUCCCUGACCGAUGUAUGGAAAAACAGAAGAGUUAAACUCUUUAAUGAAUAGAUUGGUUCUUAUUGUUGCCUCGUUAGUAUUUCUCGGUGUCAGAAUUUUAGGUCAAUUAUUAGUAGAGCUAACUAAAAAUAUAGUUACUUCGACUAGGACAUGAGUGACCUUAUUUAUUUGUCUCUCGAGCACAAUGUGAGAGUUUGUAAAUUAAGAAGCAAAACUAAUUAUUCAUUAUAUAAUAAAACAUAACCAAACUAUGUAGCAUCCUCUCUAACAUUACACGUGUUUUUGGCGAUCACAAAAACACCUUCAUCACCUCUUAAGCACAUGCCAAUAUAUGUCCAAUUUUGCCGAAAUGAAAAUUAAGCAUCUAUAUUGCACUUAUACCUUCCUUCUUGCAGCCCUUGCCACCGUGCUUUGUGUUGUCUGCUGCAUCAUCGCAAUCUUCUUCCACAUCAAUUGUUUUUGAUGUACGGGAGCCAUGCCUACCUCUUCUGGUCGUGGCAUUAGCUAUGAACCAGUCCUCUUGAUACCACUUCUGCAAUUUACUCAUUCACAUCUUGUCAAACCUUCCUGCUUUGUUGCUUCUAUAGACUCCAUAAAGUAACAACCAUAUAGUUAGCAAUAACAAGAAGACUGUUGUCUUUGUUGUAUUUGUUUUCAAUAAAUCUUUAUUAAUUUCAUUCCAUAUCCUUCAAUCCAAUAGCCCUUUUUCUUUUCUUUAAUUAUUAUUGUUUCAGUGUGAUUCUAUGGAUAUUUAUGUGAUUCUAAAAAAGAAAUUCUGAUUGCAAUAUCCUUUAACCUUUUUAAUCACAUUCUCAGGCAUCAUAGAUAAAAUCUGAAGCUUAAACUCCACAUAGAUCCGUUCAUUUUUUAAAAGUGCUUUGUCCAUUUCAGACUUGAAAUUGAUCCCGUGAAAUAUUUUACAGCAUUGAAUAUUUUCUUCCAAAUUCAUAUCAAACAAAUAUGUAUGUCCCGAAGAAGGAAGACAUUUAAAUUGGAGUUCUGGAAAUGUACAUUCAUAACCAUUGACAAAAAAAUUAAAUCCUAAAGUAUACUUAACAUCCGGAAGAUAUAUAUUACACAUUGUCGAUUAUAUGUGAAAUACUACACAUCAAAUACUAUUGCAAGAAAAAACAACAACAAACCUGACUCAACAAAAUCUUCUAUUUGAGGAACUCAAUGAUUUACAUCCUAAUGCACGAAGACAUUUGAGAUUCGGUGGAAACCCUCUAAUUUCCUCAAGAUGCUCGUUAAAAUUCAAUAGGAGGGUCCUCAUAAGGUGACAUUCACUAAGGCACUCGGGAAGAAUUUUGAAAUUGCCAAAGGAUAAGUCUAGAAAUUUCACAUUAACACACACAACUUGAGAACUAUUUGGAGACAUUCAUAUGGGAGAUUGCAAUCAUUGAAACGAAGACCUUCCACAUUUGAAAACAUUAUUGAAUACAUUUUAUCAUUAUGUUUUGGGAACCUGAGCAUUUCACAUCCCUGUAUUGAUAAGCUGAGAUUUUGAAAUGAAAAUGGCAAUUCUCUUAUGGAAGUUAUACACAUUCCAAUCUGUACAAAUGUGUGUGUUAAAGGGUGUGUUGCUUGUAAUCCUCGGAAUACAAACACACAUUUGAAUUUUUUUUUUUUUUUUUNUUCUUUCUAACAUAUUUAUAAAAAUAUUACUAUGGAAUGACAACCAACAUUUUUAUUCAAAAGAUCUUUCAUAGAGAUUAUGAUUAAAACCAUUUUUGCUUUCAAAGUAUAAGGAUCUUACUUGUAACAAUAUUCAUCUNNNNNNNNNNNNNNNNNNNNNNNNNNNNNNNNNNNNNNNNNNNNNNNNNNNNNNNNNNNNNNNNNNNNNNNNNNNNNNNNNNNNNNNNNNNNNNNNNNNNGGAUCCGCCAUAAUUUAUUAGACGCUGCGUGAAAGUGGCAAACGUCCACUGCACCUUUUGGAAGUUCGGGACAGAAGGGAUACAUCUGGAGGCCCUGAGAGAUGGAUUCCCAUACUUUCUUCAGACUUGGUUUCUUCUGAUGUGUCUGAAGCAUCCUUAUGAAAUAGUUGAACAAAAAUUCAAGUUAUAACAGAUGUGAUAACUAACACAAUAUACAUUUAUGCUGCAUUUAAAAUAGUCAAAUUUUUAUCAGUAUUGUUUCAAUGCCAAUCAUAUGACAUUGGGACAGAUACAUCAUACAUGAUUAAGUGCAUUAAGAUAUAAUAUAUGUCACUUCCUAGCAGAAACCCCCGUGAAAAGUGAUUAAACUAUUCCAAAUCCAAUCUGAAUCAUAAUUAAUGAGAUUAAUAGUAAACUUAACUUCAUCCAAUAAUAUUCAAAAACUUUUUCAUUAACCAAUAAAUUUACUGUGUUUAGGCUAUUAACUUUUUCACUCAAAAGAUGCAUUCAGUCCACACAGCACAAUAAGUAAAUAGAAGGGGAGAACAAGCCUAGAUUUUCUUAAUCUUUACAAUUUCAACAUCAAAUGUCUAAAAUUUACAAUAAGAUGGUCAAAAUAACAUUAGUAACAUUUAUGCAUACUCUGAGAACCUUUAUUUCGACAUUUAGCAAGGAGAAAAUCAAAAUAACAUUAGUAACAUUUAUGUGUAACAAUGUUUUCAAUUAUAAUUUCUAAAAUUUCCAUCAAUCAAGCUGGAUAAAAAACAUCCUUCCUAUGAAAUACCGACACAGACACGGACACCAAACUCGACAUUGAUUUGUCAACACCAAUAGUAAUUUGAGAAAAUCACCUGUGUUGGUAUUGGAUGCCUUCGAUCAGAAGUGUGUGUCUACAAAGCAUUUUGGACAGAAUCUUAUAUCAUGUCUCGUCAUUUGAAAAACUCUUCCAGGUAGAAACAAUUAAUUGAUUUAUAAAGAUAAUAAUGAUAAUGAUGUACCUGGACCAAGGAAUAUAUCUAUCCAUGGUGUUCCUUUUCUUUUGUUUCAGUAAGCACCAAGUUCCGCAUGCCUGACACUAAAGCUAGAUGUUGCUGCUGCAAAAUUUCUGUCUCUGAAACUCCCACUUCCACAAAUCUAUGCUUUUUCAGCGUAGGAUGAAAUUGUGAUAAUGAAGCAUUGAGAUAUUCAUCUAAUUUUCUCUAUCUA
rnacentral:lncRNA from 1 species